UUUAUUGUGUGAUAAAAACAUAUUAGUCUGCAUUAUUUCCAUUCUCUUCUUCUUCUUGGCCCAUCUUCCUACUGGGACUUGAAGCUGAGCUCAAGCGGUGAGUGAAGAUGAAUGAUGGGGGAGGCUCAAGUGGACGCUCAUCAAGUGGAGGCAGAUCUAGCCAGGCCCCGGCUAGCGUGAGGGCUCCUGUGCCGCCUCGAGGUGCCGUGAUGAAGAAGAUUGUUUCUGACAUGGUUAAACCCUUUGCCACUUCUUCCUCCUAAUCAUCAUGAUCAAGCAUUGAAGCUUGUCAUGUAUGUUCAUGUGUUGCUCUGCUCUGUAAAUAUUUCUCAACUCUAGCUUUAUGUGAAAUAAACCCUAAUGUAAUCCCCUUAUUAUUAUCAUCCUGCGGAGAGCAGGUGAGGGGGGAAUGCUUGAUUAGGGUUGAAAUUUCCGAAUUGAUGUAGUUAAUGUCUGUAAUUAACGUUCAUGACUUGUUUGUUUGGAAACUAUUGGAGUUUGUGUUUGGUAAUAGAAUGCUGCUAUUUUUAUCUAUCUGUCAUAUUUUUCCGUCCACUUUAUCUUCAAAAUUUUAAAGAAAAAUUUACCUUUUAUAAAAUGGACAUUUACCCCUUUCUCUUUGAAACAUAAUAUUUUUAGAAGGCCAGCGCCAUGGGGUACAAAAUAGACGAAAUGAGAUUGAAUUCUUUUCCAUCAAAGCUUUUCUUUAACUUCUUCUUCGUUAUAUGGGGGGUUCUAUUUACCCCAGCAAACAGCUCAUGCCAUCUAACAAGCCCACAAAAAAUCUGCAAAAAUGGUUGAAGAAAUUAGUUAAAUGGUACCUUAAUUGCUAAUCUGGUGGGAAGAAGGUUGCUGGCAAUAGCUCUUUGAUUGUGGGUUAGACAGAGUAUAUAUCUUCAAUGUCUUUCUUGGAUAUCAGACCACAAACAGACUGCAAUUCUAAAUUGUGCUUCCAAUUGGUUGCCUUUCUAUGCACUCUUCUUUCACUCCAAUUUUGAUCUAAUUCCAAUUAUCACUUCUGUGCAAACUUACAGAGAGAUGGCUGUUUUCCAUAGGGAUGAGGGGCAGCUUUGGGGAGGUGGGGUUGAGGUGGAUUAUUUUUUACUUUUUUUAAUUUAUAAAUAUAUUUUUUUUUGCCAUAAUAUUAUAAGUUUUGCUUAAAUUAAUAAUGAAUGGGUAUUUUAGGAAUUAUGGUGGGUAUUGUGUUUUUUCAAAUUUAUAUGAUAAGUAAAAAGAUAAGGUGGGUGGGAAAAUAGGACAGAUGGUGGAAAUAGCAACACUCUUGGUAAUAUUAUGACCAAGGUUGUUUGCCAAUGACAAUUUUCUUGAUUGCGUUGAAACUUUUUUUGAAUUUUGAUAGUGUGAUUCUGAUGGUGUUGAUUACAUUCAUCAAUAGCUGAGAAUGCUCAGUGUCCACACAUGACUGUGGGUCGAAAUCUAAAUGAAGUAAGUAAAUGGCUUAACUGUGAUUUGCUCCCUGAACUUGUAUCUAAUUUUUAUUUUACCCCUCUUCUUAUUUUUUAGAAAAUUAAGGACCCGAACAGAUUUUUUUCCCCAAUUUGCCCCCCGACGUCAAAAUUUGCCACUUCCCAUUCAUUUUAUCGUCAAGUUGGUGUUUUAGUGGAGACGCAAAAUGACAAAAGUAACCUUUAACUUAAUGGCAGGAUGGAUGGGAAGUGGCAGAUUUUGACGUCUGGGGCAAAUUGGUGAAAAAAAUUAGUUCAUGUCCUUAAUUUUCUAUAUAUAAAAAAAGGUAGGGGAUAAAUCGAAACCUAAGUACAAAUUCAAGGGCAAAUCACCAAUUAACUCUUAGGCCCCGUUUGGUUCGUGGAAUGAAUUUGAGGGGAAAUCAUUUCCCAUGUCAUUCCCCAAGGAAUAGGAAUGAAAGAUUCCUUUCCCACGUUUCGUAAUGCUGGGAAAGUAACCGAGAAAUAUCACUUUAUUUCCUCUUCCAUAUUUGUUUUGAGUAGGAAUGGAAAACAAAGUUUGUAUAAAUUUUCAAUUAUACCCAUAUUAAAUCAAAUUAAAAAAGAAUGCAUUUAAUGAUAUAUUAUAAUUCUAAAUUAUUAUGGAGAUAAAAUAGUCAUAAAAAAUAUUUAUUUAAUGUUAGCUUAUUUUCCUAAACUUUUCCAUGAGAAGGAAAAACAAAACCUAAGUUGGGAGGAUUGCUUCACUUUUCCCCUUACUUUCCUAUGAGCCAGGUAACAAUUUCUCAUACAUAAACUUACCAACACAUGGAAAAACAAUUGAUUUCUCAUUCCCAAGUCUCCUUUCCCAUGAACUAAACAGGCCUAAGUAAAUAGAUAAAUACAGUAGCUGCCUGCAUAGUGGGCCUAAAACAUACCUGAAGAGAAAAUGGGGCUGAUGAGUAAGCUUAAUGCCAGACCGAAAAAAGAAGUUGGGUUUGCAAUUGGACCACGGACUAUUUUGGGCAUGCCCAAUUAAGCGUAACAAAGAAUUAAUUCACAAACAUUGUCUGCAAUUUCCACUCUAAAGUUAGGGAGGCAUGAUGAAAUCAUGAAAGCAGCCAGCCACCAUCUUCCUAACCGUUGCCCAACGGAUUUCAUACCCGGCAACCAAAUUCAAAUAUCUGAAAAGCAAAAGAACAAAAGCAAAAGCCACAUUCACACACACACCCACCUUUUUCCUCAGUUUUCACAAAUAAAAUAGUACCACCACUAUAUAAAUUUGGUCACUCCUAUGUUCCACAUUAAUUUCCUAGCCUCAUUUUAAUCAAAUUCUAGCAAAAUGGGUUCUUGCAUUAGCAAAUGCAGACCCAGAAGACACAUGAUAGAUGAACUCAAUCAUGUCCAAGACAAGUUGGUAAUCUCACAAGCUCCAUCUAGAUUAGCUGCUCCUCCAAUUUCUGCUUCAAACAAAAUCUCCCCCUCUCCUCCAUCCCCUUCCAAUUCCACUUCCUCUGCUUCUUCCUUCACUUGCACCACCAACACAAGCACUUCCCACACCAGCAGCUCACUAACCUCAACCCUGUCAAGUGCUUCUUCAGUCUUGAGUUCGAAAAUCGACCGGUCUUUCUCCAACGAGUUCUUGUGGUCAUGUUACAAGGAAAACCCACAUGUAGUUCGGAUUAAUUCACUCAAAGAAGCAAGCUUUUCCUCAUCAUCACUGCCACAGAAGCCGCUUUUGCCAGCAGCAGUGAAGAAGAAGCAGCCAAACCUGAAAAACGCAAAUGCGUCUGUUACGCCUCAAAAGAGAGUGAGGUCAAGUUCACCAACCCCAUUAACAAGACAAAAGAGCUUCCGAAAAGAGCCAGAGAGGCCGCCUAUGAUCUCUGCAUAUUCUCACCCAAGUAGAAUCUUGAGGUCACCUUCUCCGAGCAGAAGGUUCAACAUGGCAAACCCACCAAAAGAAUCAAGCCAUUCAAAGCCUAACGCGUUGAAUCUCAGGCCUGCAGCAAGUUCAAAUUACAGCAAUUCAAGCCGGCUGCUUAGACCUUAUUUGAGGAGCAGAGAAACAGAGACGCGCAUUCACAGGAUCAGCUCCAAAAUUGAUGAGGUUGCAGUUGGAGAAGCUCUAGCUGACUAUAUGGACUCUCUUCCAGCUGAGGACAUUGACAACCCCUUAAUCUCUCUCGAUUGUUUUAUCUUCCUCUAGUAGAUUAAUAUUCUGAGUGUGUGUGUGGUCGUGCAUAUAUAUAUUUUAAAAGGUUGUGAAUUCAUUCAUUUAUAUGAUCUGCUGGAUCAAAUUAAUUCAUUUCAACUUCUGUAAAUUUAUUUGGUUUGCCUUUUUUUUCUUUUAAAUUUUUUGUAUCGUUACCCGAUUGUUUGUUUUGAUGAAAAUACGAGAAAUGUUUCAUGUGUUUAUUGUUUAGGAAAUUCGUAUGAAUGCAUAAAUAAUAUAAGAGAUGAACUAUGUAAACGUGUUCAAGGAGCUGUAUCCAAAAAAAAAAAAAAAAAAAGUUCAACGGGCUUGACUUCUUUAGAAUUUUGGGCUUUGAUGGUUUUAUUUAUAUGGGCUAAACAACAAGAAAGAAAGUUUCAUAAAAAAAAAAAAAACAAGAAAACCUUUGGGCUUAGCUAUAUGAGAAAGGCUCAUUAUUGAGGCAGAUUUUGAGCCCAGCUAGAUUGUUGCUCAAAGAGCUGUAGAAAAUACUCUCUCUCCAGUAGAAAAUAACAUUGAUUUGCAGAUUAGAAGUUUCAGGUUUAAAUUUCUGAUAUUAUAAUUGUGUGUGAGAAAUCCUCAUUUCCUGAAAUUUAGACUAUCGCUUGUAUUAAUUUUUUUUUAAAAAUACUCUUCUCUCUCUCUCUUGUUUUUGUUAUCGGGUUUGCUUUUUUUAUUUGUUGGUUUUAAAGACAUAUAUUUACAAGUCAUAGAUUGGACAGUGCUACACAAGAAAACAGCCAACAGGCUACCCCAUAUAAUGUGAUGCACUAAUUUAGUUUUUGCAGUCCAACUUACAAUGAUAAGAAUGGUUUAAUAAUCGUAUUAUGCAGGAUGAAGUGAGGAGUUUGACUCUGAAUUUAUUAGUGCUUGAUCCAAAAGUUGAAACAAAUUACAACCUAAUCGUUGACGUUGGAUCAGAAUCUUCUCCCUAAAUUGUCUCGCAAAUUCCCCCUACCCCUAAUUUUGGAGACACUGUUUAGCCGAAAACGAAGGCCACGUAGGCCAUGCACAUCAUGGAUUUUGAUUUUGUGUCCCUAAAAUUGGAACAUGACGGAUGGCUUCACAUGCACCAGUCUGGGUUAAUUUUGGUACAAAUCGACCUUUAUAAUUGGAUACCCCUGUCGCCCGGAAACACUAGAUUCUUCAAAAAUUUAGGGAAAAAAGAGUGGUGCCUCGCUAAGAUUAGCUAGCCUAACUACCCCAUCUCAUGUUGAUAUAUAUGUUGGAAAAUUUAUUAAUUUUCUGUUAUGAAAAUUAAAUUCGACAAGAUGUGAUUUUCAAGUUUGAAACAAUGCGAUGCAUUACUUGUCUUUUUAGAUUAAGACGGUAGGAAUAAUCUAUAAAUAAAGAAGUCCAUUACAUCAUUUGAAUUAAUCUCAUUCAUGAGUCUUUGUCAGUUUAAUAGUGUCUCAUAUUGAGAGAGUUCAAACACAAGUCUGCAUUUGUUGUUCUUGUGGUUUGGAGGUCAUUGUAUCCUGGGAAACGUUAGUCAUUAGAACCUUGAAGCACUAGUGACGGGCAAUUUUGUCUUAAAAAGAUAAAAGCAAGUUUUAGACUCGACCAUAUUCUGGUUUUUCAAAAACUUCUUUUAUAUUGUUUGAGUUAUUUUACCAUUUAAAUUGGUAUUUAUUUGUAUGGAAAUUCUGCUUUUCUUUAAAUAUAUAGCAAUUUAAAUCUCAUUAUUUUCCAACAAUAUAUAUAUAUACGGAUUGUAUUUCACUAAUCCAAACUGUCUAUCUUGUAGAUAUUUAUUUAAAGAUCAUCUUUAUGAAAAAACCACUUGAAUCCGAUAUCAUUUGACCACUCAAUUAAAUUAUUAAAAUUGUAGUACUUUCUUGAAGCAUCGUGUUCACUAAUAAUCUAUGAAUGAGAACCUAAAAAAUAGAUAGUUUGGAUCGUUGAAAUUUUUUUUGUAAAGUAUCCUAAAAAAUGUCCCUCAAAUAAAAUUAUUUAAAAAAUUCUUCAAUAGAAGGGAGCUAUAUAUAAUUAUAAUGUGUAACUUUAGUAUUGUUCAUAGGGACAUGAUGUAACAUUUUCAACCUUGAAUUAUUCAAUGGGUACGUUGUGUGUGAUAUCAGUUCUGUUUUUAAAAAGAAAAAAGGGGAAAUUUAGGAUUAGUAUAUAUGACUCAAAACUUUAUCAAGUAAAACGUUAUAUGUUUGAAAACCCCAUAUCAUUAGAGAGAGAGAGAGAGAGAGAGAGAGAGAGAGGUAGGUGAGGGAGAGUGAUACUCUAUAACUCUAUAUGAUAGUGUACAUAUAUGCCUGCAUACGAAGUGCUGCUAUUUUCACUCUAUUGUCCUAUUUAUUUAUUCAUCUUAUCUUCUCACUUAUCAUAUAAAUUUGAAAAAACACACUCUAUAUAUCCACACACCUAUAUUCCUAAAAUACCAUUUCAUUAUAUUCAACCAAAACCCAUAAAUGAAGCAAAAAAAAAAAAAAAAAGAACCCAAACAAACCGAGCAACCUCUUUCCUAUUCUUCUUCUUCAAUCAUAAUUCCAAAAAAAAUCCUGAAAGACACCCUUUAGUCCCAAGUCCCUACAGCAUGCCCUUGCUUUCAUUGAAAGCAUGCUAGCCUUCAACCACCUGCCAAUUCAAAACCCAAUAACCCUUUGAGUUAUUCAACCUAAAACCGUACCAAAUAACAAACAAACGAAAAAUAAAGAAUCAAUUCAUUCAUAGGGGUGGCUGUCGAGAGCAGGGAGGAGAGAAAUAAGGAGAAAAAAAGGAGGUGGAGGGUGGAGGGUGGAUGGGUGCAUGGGGAAGAUAAGACAGAUAGUAGGGUGGGUCUUUCUUGGCUGUUGAAGAGAGAGAGAGGGAAAGAGAGAAAAGAAGGAGAGAUGAGGUGUGGUUUGGAUGUGCGGUUGGCUGGUGGGUUGGUCAGGCUUUCAUCGGGAUGGGGAGAAGGGGGUUUUAUAAGUCAUUAUAUAAAAAGGUAAAUUUGUCUUUAAAAUUUUGAAAAUAAGACGGGUAGAAAUAGUAACACUUCUAUAAACAGUAGUGAUUAUAUUAUAACAAAAUUAAGAUUUAAGUAAAUCACUUUCACUAUCGAUGUUGAUUCAAGGUAGUAAGAGUUCAUGCAAAAUGAAUUAGCAGUGGAAAGUUAUGUUGAGAGAAGAAAGGAGGAUAGGGGGAUAAUAAAAUGUAUUGCCGUUGGUUUGUUCUACUAGUUAGAACUUAGAACCACCUAAACAAAAUUUGAAAAGUGUAGCAUCUAAAUUAAAAAUUUAUUAUUAUUUUAUUUGGUGUAUAAGCAUGCCGCUGACGAAUGCAUACGGCAUGCGUUGUAUUGCUCUCAUUUGUUCCAACAAAAAAACGCAGUAAACCCGAAUGCGUUGCAUGGCUAUAUCACUAUAAGCUCUAUAACUAUGAUCUUCACAGAUAGGGUCGAAGUAAAUAAUAUAAUAUUCAUGUCUACGUGGCACUUACUAGAUAGAUAGCUUACUUUUUAUAUCGUCCAAAAGACACCUAACAUAAUAAGCCAAAUAAAGGAUUUACAAUUUUCAAAUUGGUAUGUAUUAUUUAUAUAAACCUAUGUACAUGUUUUUCUUCAUAUACAAAUGAAGCUAUUCUUCAAUCUCUUCAAUAUCCCGGCCCUAUAAUUUCUUCAACUCAUCUUCGAUCUUCAUAAAGUUGUUAUUUGUCUUGUCUAGGGAAUCCAGUUGGGAUCAAUACUAAAACUUUUAGAUGUUUUUUCGUAUAGUUACACUUUUUAUUGUAUGAAGGGCCGAAAUUAUGAAUUUUUUUAAUAAGUAGACUGGCUAAAGUUAUCAGUUAAAAAAUUCAUUAUCAUUAAUUUAUGUACUUAUAGUUUUUAUAGUCUUUCUAGAAAUUAAAGACCUCGAUAUUAGGGAGAGGGAGAAUCGAACCUAAGACCUCUUGUGCAAUUGUUAAUCGUCUUAACUACUAAACCUAGCCCCUCACAAUUUCCAAUAAAUUUUAACAUAAAACAAAUACAUAUUAACUGCAACCAAAAAUCACAUAUUGUCAAAAUGAAAAUAUGUUCAAAAACAUAAGUGAAAGUUUACCUAUUUUAGCCAAUGGAUUCCCCCUCCCCCCACGGCACCCAGGAUCGAACCCUAGCGGGGUUUUCUUUCCUCCAAUGUAACCAAAAAAAAAAGUUUACACAUUUUAAUAUGUAUUUUUAUUAUUGUCUUUUAAUAGGUUAAUACAUAUUGAGCUAUAUUUAAAAUAAGACAAAUAUAUAUCUUUGAUUUAUUUUUAAUCCCCAAAGCCUCCCUAGGCUACAUCCUAAUGUAGCAUUUCUCAUAGUUCCACCAGUGAUCAUAUGAUCUUAUUGUUGAAGAAUAUAAGUCCUACAUCGGAAACUUGACUAAAUAAAAUACAAAACAUAAUGAAUGGUUCUACUACUAAUAAUACCGAGGCCUUUUGUGAUAAAAUCCACACAUACUGGGCUUUGUAUGUGGUUAAGUUGGGGGGACAAUAUUAGUAUUAUUAGUAGUAAGCCACUAGUCCGUCUCUCUGAAAUUUAACAUGGUAUCAGGGCUUGUUGAUUUAUUGGGCCUGAACUAGGCCAUUAUCCUUACCUAAUAUGUGAUGUUCACAUGUUAGGCUUGAAUGUUUACCCUUACUCAAUAUGUGGUGUACACAUGGAGCCAAGUCCACAUUGAAGUCAAUCAUUCAAGCCCACGUGAAAACCACAUAUUAGGUAAGGGGUAGGGGUAAACAUUUAAGCUCAACAUGUGUACACAAAAGGCCUUGAUAUUAUUAAUAGUACAACCAUUUAUUAUAUUUUGUAUUUUAUUUAGUCAAGUUUCUGAUGUGAGACUUAUAUUCUUCAACACGCCUCCUCAUGUGGGACCACCACAUACGUGGAGCCAAGUCCACAUCAGAGUCAAACAUUCAAGUUCAACACGUGAACACCACAUUUUGGGUAAUUGGGUAAACAUUCAAGCCCCACAUGUGAACACCACAUGUUGGGUAAAAGGUAAUGACUCAAUUCAAGCCUAGUCAAUCAACCUGCUCUAAUACCAUGUUAAAUUUCAAAUAGACAGGUCAUUGACACACUACUAGCAACACCAAUAUUAUCUCCAACUUAACCACCUACAAAGCUCAAUAUGUGUGAGGUUUUAUCACAGAAGACCUCAUUGUUAUUAAAAGUGGAGUUUAUUUAGUUAAAUUUUCGAUGUAAGACUUAUAUUCUUUAACAGUAAUGACUAUUUAAAUUUGUAAUAUUUUUGUUUGUAAUUUUAAUUUUUGGAAAAUAUAAUUAAAAAAAUCAAAUUGUGUCCUAAUUUUAUUAUAGGGUAAACUUGAAAUUGUAAAGUUGCAGAAGAAAAAGGUUUUCUUUAGGUAGAUAAAGGAGGGGGUUAAUGAGUUGGAACCACAAAGGUUAGCCUCUAUUUAUCUUCUUUUUUUUUUUUUUCGUGUGUAGGAGGCCCGAAUGGUAAAAGGACGAACCAAAACAGUCUAGAAAAGUGUAACGUAUCAACCAUUCUGAACCAGGCCCACAAUAGAAUGAGAUUUUAAAGUAUAAAGUCUAUGGAACUACAAGUGGUUAUUUCAUUUUACAUUAAUUGUAUGUAGUUUUCAAAUAUAUUGUAUAUAUCCAGUGUCUUUGGUCUUUAUAGGCUGUUUAAACCUACUAUUGCCUGAUUUUCCAAAUCGAGAAGUUAAUUAAUAUAUUUUUAAAAAUUAUUCCUUUUUUUUUCCUUCCUAAUUUAGCCUUAUUAUACACAUCAAAGUUUAUUUAGGAAAAAAAAAAACAUUCUAUACGGAUCUCUUAAAAAGAACCAUUUUAUAUUGAUGGAUUUGGGGGUCGGCAUAUAUCCAAAAGGGGCAGUUACUAAUUAAUGAAAUUUUAUUUGGAAAGAAAUCUAAAUUUCUUUUAAAAAAAAUGUUCUAUCCAAGUACACUCCUCACUUGUGGCCAAGAGGGUGAGACUUGCCGAGGUAUGGAAUUUAUUUCUUGUGUUUGGAAGAUGGAGAAAAUUAGUAUACAUAGUACAUAGUAUGUAGACUCAAGUCAUAAAAAUAAGUUGAUAUUCAAAGGAUGCUAUUUGCCUCCUUACUGGUAAGGACAUACUCCUCAAUUAUGUGAAUUAUAGUUUGACAUAUAUACAAAAAUAAUUCAUCAAAAACACACAAAAUAAAAAUUUGUGCACAGAUGUCAUACUGCUAUUGGUAGGAAUAUAAGAGCUCCUACUUAUCUAAUAAGGAGGGAAAUAUUUUCCAUAUUCAAAUGUUUGGGGGAAAAAGAUUAAAUCAUUUAGUCCAAAUAUACUUUCUACACAUACCGAAAAAGAAUUUAUAUGAUUUUGAAUCAAAAUAUCACACUUAUCGUAGGAACACACAAAGAAAAAAUAGGUAUUACUUGUACAAAUUUUCUUUUGGCUUCUUAUAAAUUAAAAAAAAAAGUUUUAAAUAAUGUGUGGAUAUUUGUUUAGAAAGCACGUGCCAGAUCCCUAUAUAAAUCCCUAACUUGGCCUCUUGUCAAUUGGCAGUGUCCGUCUCUAAGCCAAAAAAGAAAAUUGUCCUCGUCAACAAUACCAAUAUGGAUUCAAGUGCCUCUGUUGUCUUGUCCUCUCCAUGCGCAAAGCUUCCAAACCUUGAAGGAAACCAUGGCAAUAUCGAAAAGGGAGGCGUUGCUCCUUUUAUUGACUCAGCUUUCCUUCAAAAACAAUCCCAAGUGCCCACUGGUUUCGUUUGGCCUGAGGCAGACUUGGUUUCUGCUCAUCAAGAGCUCAAUGAACCACUGGUGGAUCUUGAGGGUUUCUUCAAGGGUGAUGUUGUGGCAACUGAGAAUGCUGCCAAGGCCAUUAGGUCAUCUUGCGUGAGCCAUGGUUUUUUCCAAGUGAUCAACCAUGGGGUCGAUCUAAAUCUCAUCAAACUCGCUGAUGAUCAUUUGGAUAAAUUCUUCAAGCUUCCUGUAGAGGAGAAAGCAAAGGUAAAGAGGUGCCCUGGUAGCCCUUAUGGCUAUUCGGGUUCCCAUGCUGAUCGAUUUUCGGCCAAAUUGCCAUGGAAGGAAACUCUUUCUUUUGCUUUCCAUCAAGGUCCAAACCCAGUUGUGGCCGAUUUCUGCAAAUCCAAACUAGGCAAAGAUUUCGAAGAAACAGGGUAAGACGCAUGAGUAAUGUUACAUGUAUCAGAUAUUAUUAAUAUUAAUUACGUCUAGAAAAGUGGUUGGUGUAGUCUAAACGUUUUGUUAUUUUCAUUUUUUUUUUUCCCUAUACAGUUUAAAUUAAUGGGUUUAUUAAUAUAUUUUUGAGUGUCAACACACAAGCACUAAUUAAAAUACACACAAUUAAGCACUAAUUAAAAUACACACAUACAUGAUGAGGGCUACUCUUAAUUUGCUUCUUAAUUAUUAAUUUUUUGUAGGAGGGUCUACCAAAAGUAUUGUGAAGCAAUGCACAAUUUGGCUCUUUCAAUUACGGAGCUCCUGGCAAUUAGUUUGAAAGUGGAUCGAAUGCACUACAGAGAGUUCUUUGAAGAUGCUCACUCUAUCCUGAGGUGCAACUUCUAUCCAACUUGCCAAGAGCCAAGUCUUUCUCUUGGAACGGGACCUCAUUGUGAUCCAAUAUCCCUCACCAUUCUUUACCAAGACCAGGUUAGAGGGCUUGAUGUGUUUGUCAACAACCUAUGGCAGACGGUUCGACCUAUUCAAGGUGCCCUAGUCAUCAACAUUGGAGAUACCUUCUCGGUACGUAUAAUCUACGCUUUUUAAUUAAUUAAGCUUAGAGUAACUAAUCUUUUAUCACAUGAAAGUCUAUUGUUGAACUUGAAUUGGACCAUAGAUUCAUCAUUAUUUUAUAUAUAGAAGUGAUAUUCGGGGAGGGGGAUUCCAACACAUGAUCUCAAUUGUGUAGAGGUAACUGUUUUUAACCAUUUGAGCUACAAAAACACCUUGCAACCAUAGAUUCAUCAUUAACCAAAAAAUAAAAUGAAAAACAUGUAGAUCCAGCUAAAAGGGAAAACGAAGUGGGAUUUCCAUUAAUGCUGUAGGUUAUGACUUAUGAGAUAUCAAUAAUUAGGAAAUCUUCACGUAAAAGAUAUGACGUACGGCCUAGCUAGGUAUUGUUAACAGGAAAGGACACUACAAUACUAGCUAGGUUUAGCUGCUAGAUGAUAAGAAAGAACUCUAGAUAGCUAGCAAAGUGGCUGGCCUACCCCAUUUUAUGAAGAAAUUAAAAAUAACAUUAUUUUAUCCUGAUGUUGGUGGUGAGAGUAGUCAAUCUCCUUCUAAAUUUUUUUUCAUCAAAAAAAAAAAAAUCCAUUAUUUUUCAGUCUCAAUGUAUGAUAUGGCAGACAAGUCAUGAGAUCAGUACUCAAAGCCAUUGGAAAAAUGAUGAGUGUGGAGAUUACUUAAGAAUGCAAUACCAAUAGUUGCGACGCACAAUAUGCAUGUAAAAUAGUUUAAUUAACUAAUAAUUAAUUAUAUCAUUAGUGUUAAUUAUAAUUACUAAUCUGGGUUGGCAUGAUUUUUUCUUAUUAUUAUUAUUAUUAUGUGCAGGCAUUAACGAAUGGCAUGUACAAGAGUUGCUUGCACAGGGCCGUCGUGAACAGCCAGAAGGAGAGGAGGUCAAUGGCAUUCUUUCUGUGCCCAAGAGAUGACAAGGUGGUGAAGCCCCCAGAGGAUCUUCUGUGCAUCGAGGGGAUGACAAGAAAGUUCCCGGAUUUCACAUGGUCAGAUUUUCUCCGAUUCACUCAAUAUAACUACAGGCCUGACGAAACUACCCUCCAAAAGUUCAGCAACUGGCUACUUGCUGCUGAUAAUAACAAACAUCUCUAGGAGGAGCUCUUGCUAUAGCUACUAGCUAGCAUGGAGAUGGAGCGCACCGCAGUUGGUUCUCUAAGCUUUUUUUAUUUUUAUUUUCUGAUCUAUUGCAGUUCUUGAGGGCUUGACCCACACAUUUAUCAAAUCCUAGAAGUUAAAACUUCAAAAAAGAAGAAAAAAAGAAUUUUGUUGUUGUUGAAGUUUUACCAAUUAAUGAGCUAUAGCUCUAGUUGGAUGAAUGUUUCUUGACUGGGCAUGUCAUGUUGUUUUUAUAUUUAUAUUAAUGAUCAGUAUACAGUUUAUUACUUGAUAUAAUAUGCAGAUCUUAGUUAUCAGUGGGGAUACAUGUUCCUCAGCUAGCUCUUAAUCCGAUAGUAUUUAUCUUUCGAAUGUUGAAAAAAAUCUCAAACUCGAAUUCCGCGUGAGAAACGAUAAUUAUCCAGCUACACUAUCAUUUUACAAGAAAUUAUUAAGUGGGCCAAUCAACUGUAUAUUUGCCUUCACUCUCACAUGUUUGAAAUUUUUUCAACUAAACAUGUUCUCAAGAUGUCCUUUAGCAGUGAGGAUGCCAAUAAAAACCAAAGACUGUUUACCUUGUUUUUUAAGGUAGCACCGUUCUCUAAGUCCAAAGUUCCUUGUUAUAUGUUUCCCGGGAUUUCGUGAAAUUUGAGAAUCCACUCGUACAUUUACUGGGACAUGAUUAAGGACAAGCUUCACAAGAAAAUAAAAAACCCGACACACGAGGGCUGUCCUUGCAUUUCUUUGCAGUAUAGGACAGCCAAAAUGGACGUGCCAAAGCAAAGAGAAGGGAGUAGGAGCCAAAGCUAUGGACAACCAAACUCCCUUUGUUUUUUUCUCAACUCAAAUGAUGGUCUUCAGCCACAGACAAAGCAACCACAUUUGUUUGGGAUAUCGAAAAGAGAUAAUAAUGGCUGCAAAGGUGGGUCAACUUGGUUAGAUCUCAAGUUGCUCUGCCUCCUUCCAGUUUUGCAAUGAGAUUCUUUGUUUGUGUGUCUUAUGUAUUCAGCUUUGUGCAUAUACUGAAUUCUUACCGUCAUGUUUCUACUUACACUUCUCUUUUAAAACAAUGAUCGGUCAACAUAUAAUCUUGUCAGAUAUAUAUUUAUGUUAUUAGAUUGUGAAUAUAAAUCAUGCAACACAUAAUAUAAAAUUAGAAUUUAUUUUAAAUAGGUAAUUGCGUAGAUAUUUAGGAUUUAAAUGACUCAUUCAAAAGCAGGCGAUUAAAGACACCGCUCUGAAAAAUAAAAUAAAAGAGACAAAAAUAGAACAUCUCCAUGUGUGUGGAUUAUCUUGUGAAUUAAUAAAGCGCCGUUGGAGAAAGAUAUUUCAGGCUUUGAUAAGCUCGUGCAGUUUUGUCAAUUGCUUUGUGGGAAAUACAAGAGCCAUCGUUGUUAUUAUUCUGGCCUUAUAUGGGGUUGGUCGAAUUGUAGAAGGACACAAACAAUUUAUAUUAUUUCCAUCGCUAUCAUUGGAAUUCAAGCUCAACAGCCAAAUUAAAUUUGGACCCUGUCGAAAUUCAAGCUCAUCGCUAAUAAACCCCACUAAUUUUGCUUUUUAAUCUAAUUUUCUAUCUUAAUUAUUUAUAAGAAGAAAACCCCUUGAAAGCAACUUGAACUGGAAAUGGUGCGCAAUGGAUAAGUAUGUGUACAAUUAAACGUAAAUUAUUUUAAUUUUUUAUUAUUUUAAAUACUUCAUAUUGAGAGGGGCGAUAACAUACGAAAUUCACACACACUACACGAAUGCUAGGAUUUGAACUCAAGACCUUUCCUAGAGGGCCGAGUGCUCUAAACCAUUGCACUAGUGGAUACUUUGUUAUAACCGCAAAUCAUGGAUUGAAGAAUAGGGCAAUUUGAGUAAUGUCAAUAAUUUGAUGUUUCUGUCCUUUAUGUAGCUGGAAGUUGUUUAGAGGCCACUAAACAGUGGAUUUUGGUUCUGGAAAAAUGUCUUGCAUGAUUGCGUUGAUGUCUUCGGUUAUCAUAUCAAUCAAGCUUUGUCAGCAGGUUGGACAAAAACUUGGGACCCUUUGUAACACAUUGGCCAGCAUAGAAUUAAAGCCCUUGCUGGGAGUUUUUCUUGGUUUUACUUUUAGUUGCUCAUCAUUUGCUACUCAGUAUGCGUUAUUAUGAAAACAUGCAUUUUUAAGCAAAUAAAUAAUUCAUGUACUAUACACGUACAUACAUAUUUUUCCUAAAUAAUACACAUUUUUCAAAUAUUUUGUAAUAAUACAUAUUGUUCGUGUAUUUAUUAUUGAAAAAAACUACAAAUAGAUCAUUUAAAUAUUAAUAUAUAUACUUGCCGAAUGUAUAUAUAAAUGCGGAGAUGUUAGCACCCCAUACCCCUUUGGCAUAGUGAGAAGAAACGGCUGUCACUUGAACAAUUAUUUCCUCAUUACUUAUACCACAAGUUACGUACACACCUCCCAAAUUUCUAAUCAGAUCAAAUGUUGAAGUCCAGACACAAGAGCAUAUCUUUGGAUGGCCAAUUACGCAUCCGCACAUUCGUGGCGGUGGAUUGUUACAACCAAAAUGGCAAAAGCCUAUUAAACCAAAUUAACCAUUUCACCGUUCCCAUUCUCUCUUGCUUUUCUUCUGCUUGCUUGAUUAUUCUUUUUUUUUCGAUGCAUUGUAUAUAGUUAUUUCAAAUACAUUGUACAUAUCCAAAUUAAUGAGUUAGUUCUCCAAAUUCGCAAUAUACUUUAACCCAACAACGAGGGCAUUUUAGUAAUAAACUUGGUUUCAAUUCCAAUUUAUGUGAAUUUAGUAAACAACUUAUAAGGAAUUAGUACCACUUAUACCCCAACUCCAUAUAGUUUAGUAAACAACUUCAAUAGGAAUCCGGAUUUUAACUCUCCUCAAUCCAACUCAUCUUCAAUAAUUCAAUUCAUCCUCAAUUCAAUUCCUCACUAAUUUGAUAACGGAUUAGUAAACAUGUCAUUAAAUCAUUUUAUCUAAAUAUGCUUGGCACAUACCCAAAAAGAAGAAUUACUACUAAAAAUUGAUAUUUUCCUUGAUGAAGAGUUGUCUUCUCAGACCCAGAUGAAUUGUAUAUAAAUUCCCUACGUACCUUUGCCUAUUCUAUCAAUUGUUCGUGUCUCUCUCGGAUGGUUCUCGUUUUAUUGACUCAACUUACCUGCAAAAACAAUCCCAUGUGCCCUCUAAUUUCAAAUGGCCUGACGAGGACGCGGUUUCUGCUAAACAAGAGCUGAAUGCGCCAGUGGUGGAUCUUGAGGGUUUCUUCAAGGGUGAUGUUGUGGCAACUGAGAAUGCUGCCAAGCUCAUUAAUUAGGUCAUCUUGCUUGAGCCAUGGAUUUUUCCUAGUGACCAACCAUAAGGUCGAUGCAUAUCUCAUCCAACUCGCUUAUGAUCAUGUGGAUCAUCUUUUCAAUCUUCCCAUCGAGGAGAAAAUAAAGGUACAGAGGUGUCCUGGUAGCCCUUAUGGCUAUUCGGGUGCCCAUAUGGAUUGAUUUGCGUCCAAUUUGCCAUGGAAGGAAACUUUUUCGUUUGCUUUCUAGGAAGGUCCAGACCCAAUUGUGGCCAAUUACUUCGAAUUUACUAUGAGUAGGGUAAUGUUAUAUGUACGUAUGUAUCACAUAUUAUUAUAGUUACGUCUUAAAUUUCUAGACUACAUACUCUUAAUUAAUUUGCUUGUUAAUUAAUUAAUUAAUUAAUUACUUUUUGGGUUUCUUUUUGUACGUACUGUAGGUUGUAUAUCAAAAGUAUAAUGAAGCAAUGCACGGUUUGGCUCUUUCAAUUAUGGAACUCUUGGCAAUCGGAUUGGGAGUGGAUCGGAUGCUCUACAGAGAGUUCUUCGAAGAUGCUGUGUCUGUCAUGAGAACCAACUUAUAUCCAACUUGCCAAGAGCCAAAUCUUUCUCUUGGAACGGGACCUCAUUGCGAUUCUAAUGCCCUCACCAUUCUUCACCAAGACCUGGUUGGAGGCCUUGAUGUGUUUGUCGACAACAAAUGGCAGAAGGUUCGGCCUAUUCCUGGUGCUCUAGUCAUCAACAUUGGCGGUGUCUUCGCGGUACGUAAUGUAUAUCCUAACCCUAACCCUCUUUUAAUUAAUUUAAUUUAUUCAAAAAGUAAUUAAGCUUAAUUAGAGUAAUUCAUCUUAAGUUUAUUAUCAUCGAUCAAGUUGCUACAUAUGUAUGUACAAAUGCAUGCAUGUGCUUAUUAAAUAGUUUAAUGAACUAAUAAUUAAUUAUCAUUAGUGUUAAUUAUGAGUGUUAAUUAAUCUUGUAGGCAUUAUCGAAUGGCAUAUACAGGAGUAGCUUGCACAGGGCAGUUGUGAACAGCCACAAGGAGAGGAGGUCUUCGGUCUUCUUUAUGUGCCCAAGAGCUGACAAGUUGGUGAAGCUCGCAGAGGAACUUGUGCCCACAAGUGAGGGGGCACAAGAAAGUUUCCGGAUUUCACAUGGUCAGAUUUACUCAAAAUUAUUAUAGGGUUAACUAAACUACUCUCGAAACUUCACCCAUUGGUUCUUUCUGCUCAUCAUACCAAUUCCAAACCCACCAAUUAAUUGAUAAUAUGAGGUGGUCCGGCUAGCUAUAUAUACCAUGGAGAUGGAGUUCUCUAAAUUAUUUUUAUUUUCUAAACUCUAUUGCGAGUCCUUGUGCGUGUGACCCACAUUAAUAAAAUCCUAAAAGUUCGAACUUCUAAAAAGGAUUUUUGUUGUUGUUGUUGGAAGUGUUAUUAGUAAAGCUAGCUUGUUAUAUGAUCUUGGUUCGAAUUUACACACUGACAGUGAACCUCUAAAGACAACAACGUAGGUGUCUCCAUUUACACACACAUAUAUAUAUAUCAUCAUUUUAAUUUCCUCAGUUUAAUUAAAUUCUUGGAGCAUGCAUAAGAGUUGCACGCAUCUUCGCCAACUAGCUCUUAAUCUAAUAUACACCAUCAUAGCACAAGAAAUUAGUAAGUGGGCCAAGCAACUGUACUGCCUUCACUCUCACAUUUUCGAAAAUUUUUCAAUUGAACAUAUGUUCUCAAUUUUUUCUUCAGAAGUGAGAAGGUGAAGAAAAAAAGAAUCCUCCAACACCACUAAAAAACCAGACUAUUACCUUGUUUUUUAAGGUAGCCCCAUUCUCUAAGUCCAAAGUUUAUAUGUUUUCGGAAGAUAUCGUGAAACUUGGGAAUUCGCUGGUACAUUUAUUGGGACACGUUAAGGACAAACUUUGCACACAAAAAUAGGGUUUAAAAAAAUGAAAUAAAACUUGACAUACGUGGGCCAGUCAUUACAUGUAACAGAUAUAUAAUAUUCUAAAUUUAUCACGCAUUAUCAUAUCAAAAAAUUAAAAUACAUGAUAAUUGGUUCAAUAGCAUGUAUUUGGCUUUAUAAGUCUGUCAAAUUCUGAGAUUUCAAAAUACGACAUUCAUGACAAAAUUAAAAAUAAGAUUAAAUAAAAACUUAGUACCUUCCACCUUUGGCCAAGUAGCAAAGUAUACGUGAUUGCUAAUUGCUACUAUUACUCUAUUAGGUGAAGAUGAUUGGCAAAACAAAGAAAAGCUAAUUUGCCACUAAAAUGGCUUUCGUGUCUCUCUUCUAUAAUUAUAUCUGUGUGAGAGAAAAACUCCCAUCCCCCUUUCUAACUUCGAUAAAAUAAAUAAAAAGAACGAUAAUAGCUUAGAAAUUAGAAUGACUCAUGGAGGACAACAAAAGUCUUUACACCUAUUAACACACCUCAAUGGGUUGGAUAUUUAUACCAAAAUCGUUACAACCAAUACAAAACCUCUUUAGACAAAUGGCUCAACAUAAUAACAUUGUGGAAAUUUUUAGGUCAUGAUAAAGGUAUUUAUUGUGAAAUAUUAGGUUCGAGUUUUAGCACUCGUAAAAGAGAAAUUCUUAAGUGUAUACAAUCGGUGAUGGGGUAAAGUUUCUCCCCAUAGUUACAGAAGAGAGGCACAUGAAAAUCACUUUUGGUGGCAAAUUAGCUUUCUUUGUUUUGCCAAUCACCUUCACCUAAUAUCAAUGAGCCAUACCGCAUAUACUUUCUUUUUUAAAAUUUUAAAUUGAAAAAAAAAAGUGUAUUCUAGUUUGAAAUAUUAUAAUUAGACCGACUUAUAAAGCCAACUGGAUGCUAUUGCACCGUUCUAAAGUUAUAUAAUAUAAGUAAUAAUGCUUCACUGGUGUAAGCUUUAAGAUUAAAUUCUUAGAAUCAAGUAAGAGGUGGACAUGGCUCUCAAGAAGCUGAUGGUGGCUGGCUCUCUGUGACACCAGACUUUGUCAAUAUGUAAAUUAAUUUUCUCACUGUCAAUACUUAAUUCCUUUUGAGCUAAUUAAAACGCAUCCAGUUUCUUUGUGUUUGGAUUAUUUAAGUUACACCAGAAACCUUACAAAUUUACAAAUAAUAAGCAAACAAUCCAUGAUUCUACAACUUUUGUAUGUAUGCAAAAGCAGAAGUUGAGUAUAAGCAAUCUUUACCAACAUUCAACAAAGACCAAAAGCGGAAGCUCCAAAACAUGGGUUUGGAUACAAAGCUUCUGAAAACUGUGUGCUUAUAUGGGUAAUGGCAGCAGCCACAACAAGAUCAGCAUCAGAAGAAGAAAUUCCCCCAAACCAUAAGAGCAGAUUGCCAAUACAAGUGUGGGGAAGUUAGCAUCCCAUACCCCUUUUGACACAAGUGAGGGCUGUUACUUGAACAAUUAUUUCCUAAUUACUUGUAACACAAGUUACACCCCUCCUAAACCAUUUCUAGUCAGAUCAAAUGUUGAAGUCCAGUGCAUAUCUUUGGAUGGUCAACUACGCAUUCACACGUUCGUGGCGGUAGACUGUUUCAACCAAAACGGCACACAGGGGAAAAGACUAUCCAGCCAAGCCAUUUCACCGUUCCCCUUCUCUCCUACCCGUAACAAGUUCAUCAGCGUCGGAUGCGACAGCUUUGCUUAUAUUGAAGGAAAUGACAAGGUAUACUAUACAGGGUGUCUUUCACUGUGUACUAGUACUGACAGCCUAGCCAAUGGUUCCUGCGCGGGCAUUGGAUGCUGCAAAGCCGUUAUACCGAAAAUGAUGUACAUUUUUAGUGUAAAAGUCCAAAGCUUCCAUAAUCACAAUGGGAUUUGGGACUUCAAUCCUUGUAGCUAUUCCUUUUGGGUGGAAGAAGAGUCUUAUGACUUCUCCACUGUUGAUCUCCAGAGUAGGAGCAAGGUUACCACAGUACUUGAUUGGAGUGUUGAGCAACAAACAUGCAAAGAAGCACAAGAAAAUGUGACAAGUUAUGCAUGCAGCCAUAUUAGGAAAUAUCUUUAGAUAUUCAAUCAUACUGUAUCAGAGCUUCAUCCUGGUACUUGACCCCUUCUACUUCCUAGCCACCUUCAAACACCAUGUCAGAUCAAACACCACCAGAAACCAGAGACAAUACUUCCAAAAAUUCAAGCACCAACACCAAAAAUCCUGGUAUGGAUUCAUCACACCCAUAUUUUGUUCAUCAAUCAGAUCACCCCGGUCUCAUGCUCGUUCCCAUAAAGUUGAACGGCACCAAUUACCCAUCUUGGAGUAAAUCCAUGCUCCAUGCUCUCACGACCAAGAACAAAGUUGGCUUUGUCAACGGAUCCGUUCAACCUCCUUCAGAAACUGAACAACCAACCGAAUAUGCUCUCUGGAAUCAAUGCAACAGUAUGAUUUUAUCAUGGCUUGCUCAUUCGAUGGAACCCGAUUUGGCCAAAGCAGUUGUUCAUGCCAAGACUGUCCAUCAAGUGUGGCAAGAUUUCAAAGAUCAAUUCUCAUAAAAGAAUGCACCAACCAUAUAUCAGAUACAGAAAUUCAUCGCCUCUCUCUCACAAGGCACCAUGACGGUUUCAGACUAUUACAAGAAACUCAAAGAUCUCUGGGAUGAAUUAGAAACAUAUCAAACACCUCUCACAUGUAACGAGAUGAAAGCACACAAUACACAAAAGGAAGAAGAUCGGAUGAUGCAAUUCCUUAUGGGCCUCAACGACACCUACAACAGUGUUCGCGGGAAUAUCCUCAUGAUGUCGCCAUUGCCUAAUGUCCGCCAAGCCUAUUCACUUGUCGUUCAAGACGAAACACAACGACAAAUAACAUCAGGACCAACAGAGAAUUUUUCCAUUGCCGCUGCGAUUCACAGCCGAUCAAACAAUAUGUCGAAUAAUUCGACGAACAAACACUGUGAGCACUGUGAUAGAAAUGGUCAUACAAUUGAAGAAUGUCGGACCCUCAAAUUCCAUUGCAAGUAUUGUGAUAGGAGAGGCCACACUGAGGAUAAAUGUAAAUUCAAAAAUGGGACAUGGGUUCCCAAUGACACAGGAAUUCAAGGCAGUAGGCAUAAUCAAUCUAAGCAACAACGUCAAGGGUCUAAAGGGCACAUCAAUUCGCGUGGGUCCUUUUUUACUGCCCACGCAGCAGACACAGCUCCAGCGCAUGAGGCCCAAUCAUAUGGUUUCAGUGCACCAACCCAGCCAGCCUCUCAAUCCAACCCUUUACAUGGGUUUUCUGCAGAGCAACUCCAACAACUAGCACAUCCGUUUCUAUGAUGAGUUCAACUCAUUCCCCUAGUAAUAGCAAUGCUUAUGCAAAUGUUGCAGGUCUGGCUCCUUUUUCCAUUUCCUUCAUAAAUUCUGUGUUCACUAAACCUUGGAUUUUAGAUAGCGGAGCUAUUGAUUGCAUCACUUAUGAUCCCACACUUUUCACUAAAACUGAAUCAUCACAAAUGCCCAUUGUUAAUUUACCUACUGGUUCUCAUGCCCCAAUCACUUCCACUGGCACUAUACCAUUCAAUUCAAAUAUCACAUUAGACAAAGUUUUGUGUGUUCCAUCUUUUCGCUUAAAUCUUAUGUCUGCCAGCAAACUCACUACUUCUCUAAAAUGUUGUGCCAUUUUGUUUCCUACCUUCUGUGUCUUGCAGGACUUGGCUACGGGGAAGAUGAUUGGCUUGGGUAAACAGCGUGGUGGUCUCUAUUACAUGUCUCCAUUGCAAAAGACACCUGUCUCAUAUCAAGUUUCACUCUCAUCCGAUUUAUGGCACAUGCGACUUGGACACCCAUCCUCUGCUCGUCUUCGAUUAGCUUCUUCAUUAUUGCCUUCCAAUGCUAUUUCUUUUGAUAAUAAUUGUAGUGUUUGUCCCAUGGCCAAACAAACAAGACUUCUAUUUCCUCUAAGUUCAAUAUCAACUAAAGCUCCUUUUGAUUUGUUACAUUGUGAUAUUUGGGGUCCACACAAAGUUACCACACAUUCAGGGGCAUGUUUCUUUCUUACCAUUGUGGAUGACUUUGCUAGGUGCACAUGGAUAUUUUUGAUGCAGCAUAAAUCUGAAACCCAAAACCUUCUCAAAUCUUUUGUUGCUUUUGCCCACUCUCAAUUCCAUGCCAACAUUAAAACCAUUCAGGUAGACAACGGGUCUGAAUUUUUCUCCAUGAGGGAUUUUUUUCAAAAUAAUGGCAUUGAAUAUCAACGCACUUGUGUUUACACUCCACAACAAAAUGGAGUCGUCGAACGCAAGCAUCGCCACAUUCUCAUUGUCGCACGUGCAUUACUUUUUCAGUCUCACUUACCCAUUAUUUUCUGGGGUGAAUGUGUCUUGACCGCUGUCUAUCUUAUUAACCGAUUACCCUCACCAUUACUUUCCAGUAAAUCACCUUUUGAAUUGUUAUACAACCGUCCCCCAUCACUCGACCACUUGAAAGUCUUUGGUUGUCUCUGUUAUGCAACUAUUGUCCAUCCUAUUCAUAAAUUUGAUCCCCGUGCCACACGUUGUGUCUUUGUUGGAUAUCCUACUGGCCAAAAGGGUUACAAACUCUACAAUUUGGAGACAAACAAAUUCUUUGUAAGCCGUGAUGUUCGAUUCUGUGAAAAUACCUUCCCUUUCUCUCAAUUUUCGGCCUCCCUUACCCCACCUACUCCUCAGCCCUACCUUUCCUCUGAUUUUCUUAACAGCUGGACCCCACCAAUUGAUCCGCCCAACCCACUAGCCAAUCUGCCCAACCCUCCAACCAACCCACCACAAGUGCCUAACCACUCUAUCCUCUAUGACGCACAUGACGAGCUUGACAACCCCACCUCUCCCAUCCCACCUUUGUCCCCGUCCGUCGACCCCACCCCUCCACAUACAGAUAAUCUCAUUCCUCUCAUUCCCCCUCCUCGAUAGUCCACUCGCUCUAAACAUCCUCCAGCAUGGCAUACAAACUACCACAUGUCCAACCACGUCAAUCACUCAACCUCAGCGCCUCGUUCUGCAUCAGGUACUCGGUUUCCCCUUUCCCACUUCCUUACCUUCUCUCGUUUAUCCUCUGCCCAUUGUGCUUUUCUUGCUAACAUUACAGGUCACACAGAACCCACAUCCUAUGCUCAGGCUAUUCUUGAUCCAUAUUGGUGCCAAGCCAUGACUGCAGAACUAGAGGCUUUACAGCACAAUAACAUUUGGAGUUUGGUUCCGCUGCUCGUUGGUCAUAAACUGAACGGCUGCAAAUGGGUCUACAAAAUCAAAUACAAGUCCGACGGCACCAUUGAGCGCUACAAGGCUCGGCUUGUUGCUAAAGACUACACUCAAAUUGAAGGCAUCGAUUAUCAGGAGACUUUCUCCCCUACAGCCAAACUCACUACCCUUCGUUGUCUUCUUACUUUUGUUGCUGCCCGCCAUUGGUUCAUCCACCAAUUAGACUUUCAAAAUGCUGUCCUCCAUGGCGAUUUACAUGAGGUGGUGUACAUGGAGCCUCCUCCUGGUCUUCGCCAAUAAGGGGAGAACGUUGUAUGUCGGCUCAACAAGUCUCUCUAUGGUCUCAAACAAGCUUCCAGAAACUGGUUUUCCACAUUUUCAGAUACCAUUCAAAAGGCUGGUUAUUAACAAUCUAAAGCUGAUUAUUCUCUUUUUACCAAGGUUGAAGGCACUUCAUUUACUGCAGUUCUUAUCUAUGUUGAUGACAUACUUCUCACAGGAAAUAAUCUUCAAGAAAUGGAACGUCUCAAAAAGUUUCUUCUCAAUCGCUUCCGCAUCAAAGAUCUUGGAUAUUUGAAAUAUUUUCUGGGCAUUGAAUUCUCUCGUUCCAAGAAAGGUAUUUUCAUGUCUCAAAGAAAGUACGCACUUGAUAUUUUGCAGGAUUCAGGACUUUUAGGCGCACGCCCAGACAAGUUCCCAAUGGAACAGAAUUUGAAACUCACUUCCCCAGAUGGAGAAUUACUGAAUGAUCCAACCAAAUACAGGAGACUGGUUGGCCGAUUGAUCUACCUUACUGUCACAAGGCCUGAUAUAGUCUAUCCUGUUCGAACACUAAGUCAAUUCAUGCAUCAGCCUCGCAGACCUCAUUGGGAUGUUGCCAUACGGAUCCUUAAAUACCUCAAGGGGACUUCAGGUCAGGGUUUGUUAUUUUCUGCCACCAACAAUCUUACAUUAAAAGCUUUUUGUGAUUCAGACUGGGGAGGUUGUCGUGCGACAAGGAGAUCAGUUACAGGAUACUGUGUUUUUCUUGGCAAUUCACUCAUCUCAUGGAAAUCCAAGAAACAAACCAAUGUUUCAAGAUCAUCAGCAGAAGCUGAAUAUCGAGCUAUGACCAACACAUGUUUGGAGCUGACUUGGUUACGCUUUAUACUACAAGAUUUAAAAGUCCCACAGAUAGCUCCUGCACCAUUGUUUUGUGAUAAUCAGUCAGCUUUGUAUAUUGCCGCUAAUCCUGUUUUCCACGAGCGUACAAAGCACAUCGAAAUUGAUUGUCACAUAGUUCGAGAAAAACUACAAGCUGGAAUAAUUAGUCAUUCGUAUGUACCUACAUGCUUCCAAUUGGCAGAUAUUUUUACGAAGGCCUUGGGGAAGGAUCAAUUUGUGACAUUGCGCGACAAGUUGGGACUUCAUGAUAUUCACUCUCCAACUUCGUGUAGAUCAAAUCCCACUAAUAUUGGAUCACGUCUUCAAAGCCUUAACAGUAGGGUUGAUAGAAGGCUAUUGUUGUAUAUAUGUAUUAUACUAUUUGACGUUGGUAAUACAACAGAAUAUUCAACCAUUUGCUUUCUUUAGAAGCCAGGCUCAUAGCUUUUGCCUUGACUCUGAUAAUGGUCCGGGAUACCGUUGUAGUUGCUCUCCAGGUUAUCAGAGCAAUCCUUACAUCCCCAGUGGUUGCCAAGGUACUUCAGUCUCUUUGGAUUAAAUGUUCACAGUGAAUUCAUUUAUGUUCUUAUUUGGUUUAGUUUAUUAUAUUGUUCAGCAAUCAUUUUUCUUUUGGUUGAUUGAACUAACAAGGUCGCAUUGCUUGUUUGUCUUCAAGAUGUUGACGAGUGUGCUGAUCCAAUGCUUAAUGACUGUGAAGAAAGAUCUUGCAUUAACCAAAAGGGGAGCUACACUUGUGAUUGCCCCCGAGACUACUAUGGGGAUGGCCAAAAAAAUGGAGAAGGCUGCGCUGGUUGUCAACUUCGAGUGAUUAAGAUUGUGGCUGGUAAGUUUGAUAUACAUAAAUCAAAAUUUUUUUAGUCUCCAAAUGUCCCAAUUCUGAUAUGAAAAGUUCAGAAAUUUAGUACAUAUACCAAAUAUCUACACUUAUUUUCUAUGCAGGUAGUGGAGUAGGCCUUGUUCUACUGCUAGCUAGUGGUGGCUGGUUCUAUCUGGGACUCAAGAAAAGAAAGCUUAUCAAGCUAAAAAAGCAUUAUUUUCAGCAAAACGGUGGCUUAAUGUUACAAAAACAACUCUUGAGACCAGAAGGAUCCAUUGACACUACCAAAAUUUUCACAGAGGAAGAACUCAAAAUGGCCACCAACAACUUUGAUGAGAGCAGAAUCAUUGGCCGCGGAGGAUAUGGAACAGUUUAUAAAGCUGAGUUACCUGAUCAAAGAGUUGUUGCCAUGAAAAAGUCCAAAAUAGUCGAUCGUAGACAAAACGAUCAAUUCAUUAAUGAAGUGGUGGUACUAUUGCAGGUCAAUCACAAGAAUGUAAUUAAACUCUUCGGGUGUUGUUUAGAGACAGAAGUGCCAUUGCUUGUUUAUGAAUUUGUCACCAAUUGUACCCUUUCUGACCAUAUCCACCAAGAGAACACAACUUCCACCGCCACCAUUCCUUAGAACGUACGUCUUAAAAAUAGCCACAGAAACUGCAGGGGUGCUUUCAUACUUACACUCUGCAGCAUCAAUCCCAAUCAUCCAUGGAGACAUCAAGUCAACAAACAUACUCUUGGAUGAUAAUUACACAGCAAAAAUGUCUGACUUUGGACUUUCAAGGCUGGUUUCUCUAGAUCAAGCUCAAUUGUCUACAGUGGUGCAAGGAACUGUUGGAUAUUUAGACCCUGAGUACUUACAAACCAGCCAACUGACAGACAAGAUGUGUAUAGCUUUGGAGUUGUAAUGGUGAAGCUACUAACCGGGAAGAAGGCGGUCUUUUUUAAUGGGCCUGCAGAGGAGAGAAAUCUUGCAAGGUUCUUUCUUUCUGCACUGAAAGAGGACCAGUCAAGAAUUAUUCUUGAGGAUUGUGUACUUCAGAGAGGGAGAUGUUGAGGAGGUGAAGGAGUUUGCUAGCCUUGCUGAGAGGUGUUUGAGAGUGAAAGGAGAAGAAAGUAGCAGCAGAACUAGAGGAUCUGACUACUAUGGCAUUGGCAGGGCAGUCAUGGGUUGGAGAGGAAUUGAAUUCAAAAGUGACAGGGAAUUUUGGUGGUGAGCCAUUAAAAAACAUUAGUGACAGAGGAGUCAGUACCGGAGACCUGACUUUUUAACAAUUUCAUGCUGCAAGAAAUUGAUGGGAGAUGAAUGUAUUGCUUGCAAUUAUGUACAUCUUUAUUUGGUUGUGUACUGAAUUUGCUAAUGCUUUUGCUAAAUUCUUAUGAAUUAUCUUUGCUUCAUCAUUGUUGUUUAUUUAUUGUCUUCAAAUUCCUUAUUAGAUUGGCCUCUAUUUAUCAAAGUAUUCUCAUUUAUAAGAUUUCAGUUCAACACAGAAUCACAUUGACUACAAAGUAAUAAGGGUAAUUAAACCUGAGAAAUAAGUGCUCUAUGUAAGCUUAGGAAAAAAAAAAAAAAGCACACAAACACUAUCCAAUGGACUUGUUCACUUGCAGCACAAUCAUCUCCCAUCAUUUACUGGUAGCAUAAUGUGGUUCCUCAUGGUAUCAUACCCAGAACUUGAAUCGCCACCGCCUCCACAACUAAUAGUUUCCAUGGAUAUUCCACCAAGAAGGGACUCAGUCUCUUCUGAAUUGGCUUCAUUGCUAACCCAUGGAUGCAUUACCAUCCUUCUCAGUCCUUCUAGUUCCAUAGCCACUUCCUUCAUUGUUGGCCUUUCUUCUCCUUUCAUUCUCAAACACCUCUUCGCAAGGUUUGAAACCUCUUUAAGCUGCUCAAUGUUUCCCUCAUUCACAAUACAAUCAUCAAGAACUUGUAACAAGCGGUCCUCUUUCAAUGCAGAAAGAAAAUAUAUAGCCAAAUUUCUCUCUUCCUCUGGCUGGUCAAAGGAAAGCGCUUUCUUUCUUGUUAGUAGCUCAACCAGGACAACCCCGAAACUGUAAACAUCACUUUUCUCUGUCAAUUGGCUUGUCUGCAAGUAUUCGGGGUCUAAAUACCCCAGAGUUCCUUGCACCAUCGUAGAUAACUCAGCUUGGUCUAUAGGAACCAAUCUUGAGGCACCAAAAUCAGACACUUUUGCUGUGAGAGUUUCAUCCAGGAGUAUGUUUGUGGACUUGACAUCUCUGUGAAUGAUAGGAACAGAGGCUGCAGAGUGCAAGUAGGAUAGCACUCCAGCAGUUUCUGUAGCUAUCCUUAGAUGGAUUUCCCAAGAAUUGUUUGAUUUCGUUGCCUUGCUUGUGUUAUGGAUGUAGUCGAAGAGGGUUCCCUUGGUGACAAACUCAUAAACUAGUAGUGGAACUUCUGUUUCAAAACAACAACCUAAAAGCUUGACCACAUUUCUAUGGUUGAUUUGGGAAAGCACCAACACUUCAUUAAUGAAUUGGUCUAUUUGGCUUUGAUCCACCAUUUUUGACUUCUUGAUUGCAACCACCCGGCCGUCUACCAAAAUUCCUUUGUACACUGUACCAAAACCUCCCUUGCCAAUGAUUCUAGUCUCACUAUAAUUGUUGGUGGCCUUCUCAAGUUCUUCUGCAGUGAAGAUUUUCGCCGUUUCGUGAGUGGAUCCUUGUCGUUCUGAAAGUUGCUGUUGUAGCAUAAGUCCUCCAUUUUUCCGGAAGAACUUCUCCUUCAGCUUCAUCAGCUUCCACCUUUUGUAUCCCAAGUAAAACCAUAAGCUUCCCAUUAGCAAGGCUAAGAGGCUGACCCCGAUUCCUGCAUUUCCAACAAGUUUAGACAUCAACCAUCAUGGUCAUUGUUUUAAAUAGUUUUACUCAAUAUAAUUACACAAGAAGAAAAAAUAUAGUGAUUUGGAGGAGUGGCAACAGAUUCAUAUAGAAUAAGCAUAUAUACUUACCAACAGUAAUCUGAACAACUAAUGUUCGAUUAGGGGAGCAACCUUCUCCGUUUGUUUUACCAUCACCAUGGUACCCCUUCCGGCAAGAACAUUUAUAGCCUCCAUCUGUAUUUAUACAAUUUUGUUUGCAGUCAUGGAGGUUUGCAUCAUCGCAUUCAUUAAUGUCUGCAAAACAACAUAACCCAUAUUCAGAAAUUAAGCAACUACUAACUUUUUUUGGUAUGAAUCGAAGGACACAAGACUGAACCUCACUGCAUCACGGCAGCAAAGUGACAAUUCAAAACAAGGAUAAUAAUAUACAAUUAAUUUACCACGGCAGCCAUUGAGGUAUGGAUUCCCAUGGUAACCGUCCAUGCACUUGCAGCGAUACCCGACACCAUUGUCAACAUCAUCACACCUACUGUUCUUUUGACAUGUGUAGUUCAUCAACUUUUUAUUUUCAACAACUUCACAUGCUUCAUUUCCAAUUGACCAAUCUAGUACCACUGGGAGCAAUCUCACCUCGUCCAAAUCCUUGAGCAUGCUGGAGGAGAAGUUGAACUUUCCCUCUUCGACUACGAAGGCAUAGCUGCAGGGGCUGAAAUCCCACACAUUCUUAUGGUUGUUGGAACUAGUUACACUUACAUUAAAAGAGGUCAUCCCUUUAGCAAUGGAUGUUUGGCAACAGCCUAUACCAGAGCAUGAAUAGUUGGCAACAUAGUCAAUGCUGCCACAUGUUGUGGUGCACCCACCGGUGUACCCGUAGGCUCUCCUUUUGUAACCUAUGAUCUUUGCAGAGGUGUCACACCCGACCGCCACGAACUUGUUAUCGGUGUCUGAUAUGAAGAAUCUGGAGAGGGAGAGAGAAUUUUUUAAGCCACCCAAUGGCGUGCCUGACUUGUUGAAACAUUGUAUGGCUAUGUAUUGCUUAAUAUACAACUUCCCAUCCACAGAUAUGUUUGUUACCUCAAUUGAGUCACUUUUUCUAAGAAAAGGCUUUGGAGGGUUAUACGUGUCAUUGCAAGUGAUGAGGAAAUCCUGGUUGUAGUAACAAUCCUGGGUUGUGCCAAAUGGAUAUGGGAUGCUCACAUCUCCACACUUGUCUUGGCAGCCAGGCUUGACUUCUACUUGAUCAGAAGAAGGAGGGCUAAAUGUUGCUGCUGUUGUUUGAGCUGAAGCUGCAGCUGCUAAAAGCACUUCUAUGAAGGUGAUCAGUUGCAGAAGCAGAAGCAGAAGCAUUAAUCUUUGAAUGCUCAUGGCUUCUGGUUAAGUUUUUGUUGUUGAAACGAGGUUUUAAAUUGGUGCUUUUAUUGGCGGCUAGGAGAAAGACCGGACUAUUUCCUUUGGAGAGACUUGUCAACAAAAUAUUACAUAAUUAUAAAUAUAAAUUAUAAACUCAGGUCCAAGUGGUCCUUUUUUUUUUCUUCUGUUCUUUUUUAACAUGUGGCUUGGUCCUGCAACUUGACACAUCUAGAUCUCAAUCAUCACUUGCUCUCAACGUUAACUUGGGAGAAGAUAGAAAGCUGCAAAUAGUUUUGUUGCAGUAAGCUGUUUUGUAUAAAGGAAUAAUUUUUUUAUUUUUUAUUUUUUAUACAAUUGAUAUUGAGGGAGAGAGAAUCGAAUCAAAUACAUAACCUAAGAAAUAACUACUCUUAAUCACUAGAGUUAUAAAUAUAUUACAAAAUAUUUUGUACGUUUAAAGAAGAAUAGGAACAUCAUUUCACUUUUUUACCUCUUCUAGUUUAGUCAUGAAAGUAGGAGCAGAGUAAAUUAAUCUCAAAUUUCCAACAUGAAAGGUCCUUAUCAUCCAGAUUCAUGGAACUAAAAAAGGAAGACGUCAACGAAGACUUAUGCCUGAAGAAGCACGAUGGCAUUUACAAGUAGAGUCUUGGGGGGUUUAAAGAGGCCCCACCCAGGAAUUGAUUUUUGAUCGGUGUAGAACCAGAACGAGGAGAGGAUUUCUGAAUCACGUUAGGAGACCAAGAUGCAUAAUCUGAUGAAGAAUCUUGUCUUGUUUUGGGGUGAGAGAGUUCAGCCCAAUUUGAACAACUUGCCACAAAUUAAUUAUCUCAACUUGGAGGGGUGAAAAAACACUGAUAAUGACGUCAUUUGCCAAAUACUUUUUCUUUUGUGAAUUAUCUAUUGUUGUUUAGGAAAUCAUGGUAAAUACUUUAUUUAAAAAAAAUUAAUAAGAAUAAGAAACCAUGGUAUAUGAAAAACACGCAGAUAUAAUUUUCUCUCUGUGUUUUCACGGAUAGUUAUAAAGUUUUUCCUUCCACUUUCCUUCAUAUUCCUCCAAUCCAACGGCCUACUUAUUUUGCCCCUUUGUCCAGUCGAAAUAUAAAACCUUGAUUAAAGACUUGGCUCAGUCGGCUGCCAGAGUAACUAAUUAUCUGACCAACCGAAGUAAUUAUCUGCUGAGCCGACAUUAUGGACCGUACUAUGAGAAAACCCUUUUCAUGCUAGUACUAUCUUCCAAGUGUAAGACUAAGUCAUGCUUGAGUUUGUCAAACACUUAUUUUUUCUUUCUCCAAAUAGGCUCUAUAUGGAUUUUUGGAUAAUAUGUCAUGCUAAAACUGAUUUAUUUAUAAAAAACUGACUUUUUUUUCUUUAUUCUCCUCAUGUGCAUGUUCAUAUAUCACUUGUUUUUGGUUGAAGCAGUACGAAAGCAAUCACAACUCACACCAACAUAUGUACUCUUCAUGGAUUUAGAAAAAGAAGUCUCAAGCAGUCACAGGCGAAAAAAAGCAUUGCAAGAAGGGAAAAUUACUUUUGAUCCAAUUGAAAAGAGUAAAAUAGUCUUUCCAGAUUACUCUAUAAGGAUUUCUAUUCUCUCUACAUAUAAUUCUUGACUAAAUAAUCUACAGACAUUCUUAACUUAAUAAUCUAUCGACAUCUCCUCACCGGAGUAUGCACAAUUCCACUACAAACCAUACAUAUUCCUCUAAAACUGAUUUUAAAACUGAUUUGUUCAGCAUGUAAGACGAUGUUUCUUUAUAUGUACAUGGAUAAACAGAAAAAAAAGAGAUGUGGAAUGUGUACCUAUAAAUUAAUACGAGCACGAACCCUCCACCCCUACCAACCUAUUCCACACUUCUCAUUAGGGAGGGAAGCUAUGAGUACACACUUUGUUCGCACACUUUGUUCGCAUUGUAACUUGGGUUCUUGAAGGAGUUCCAGGUGUACCGGUGCAUCACUUUCAGUGACCCAAUUGGUCAUGGAAAAAAUGGCCUAACGAUAACUCCAACUGGCUUAAUACCUGCUGCAACCAUCUCCUGUAGCAUCUUCAUCCUGCAAACACAAAGAAGAAGCAAGCCAUGUUAUAACUCAGGACUUUUUUCAAUUAACUUUUUAGCUUUCCUUGAGAAAUAUCUGAUCAUACUUCUUUCAGAGAAUGUCAAAGGAAGCUCCUCAUCUGCCGUCUGCCCAUGACCAGACCACCUUGCGUAAUUACUCUCCUUUUUUGAGUUUCCCAUACCAGAUUUCUCAGGUAAGUUAUCUUCAUGUAUACCUUGGUACAAGUGUUUCAAUAUGAAAAGGGCAGUAUCAUAAUCCCUCCAAUAAUUUCUGCAUGCCAAGAUUCACCAAUUAAAUGGAACAGAUAGAUAAAUAGCUAUGUUUUAUAGAUACAUGUAUACAUAUCAUUAAGCAGCAAACAUUCGGACUGUAGGUACAUCCAUAUAAAUUCAUAUGCUUAUUUAAAAGAUGGACAUGAAAGUAUAAAGAUCCCACGAUUAUUUGAAAGUAGUCCACUUGUAAGAAUUUGUCAUUUUAUUCCUCCACCCUCAUCAUACUAGUGAAAAAAAAAAAUAAUAAUAAAAAAAUAAAAGGGAAGCAAUUCUGAAAGCAAUAAUUCUCAUAACUCAAACAUUCCAAAACUUACUGGCUGUCUAAUAUUAAUAAAGAGAAUUUUACACCCAACAAAUUUUUGAAUGAAUAUGAGAAACAUCUGAAUAGCAGAUAAAGGCAACAACAGCUGAAUUAUUAUUCCUGUGCAAAAUUCCCAAAAGUCUGAGCAAGAAAAUAAACAAUAUAGUUUAAAGGUUGUAAGCACAACAAUUUGCAUGAACAGUAUCCAAUAUUUUGCUUGAUAAAAAUUCCAAUUGCAUGAAUGAGGAAAUAUUCAAUGUGAGCACGUACGUAUGUGCUCCGAUUGCAGAAAUAUACGGAUGCUCAAAUGUCUUGUCCUGCAUGAUCAAUACAAAGACUCGUUGAGGAUCAGAAAAAUUAGCUGGUAUUGAUGACGUAAUAAUUAAAUGUCUAACUGAGAUAAAAGAGCAACAAGGCUAUAAAGAAAACAGUCAUGCAUAGCGUGCUACUAGAUUGGUACUGUUAGUGCUAAUGAGAACAAUAUGGGGUUGGAAAGCAGUUGCACAGCAUAUUUCUAAAAAGACAAAAAAUGGCAUUCAGUGCAUGCACAAGUUGAGUGAUUUCUUCUGUUUGUGUCUAAUCUAUGUGGAGUGAGUGGAGUGGUGGGUGUAUCUACGCACUUGAAGAACAUGAUCAAUCCUUCCUCCUUCACUUCCAGUUACUCUUUCCAUCAUAAGAGUACCAUACGAUCUCUCUUCCUUUUCUUCGGCUGUUUCUGCUGUAUCUGCAAUAUAACCAAAAUAAGAAAAUUUAGAAACCUUACGAAAGAUGUGAUGGAGAAGAAAUUAGAUUAUUGUAUUUAGGGCAUAGGAAGUUUAUAUUUCCAACCCCCAAACUCCUCUCUUUUUUCUAUAAUAUGAAGAGAUCAGUACACAGGGCCACUUUUGCUAAAAAAAUGUAUUCUUUGAUGUCACUAUCACUGAGAAGAACAAGAUACAGGUUGAAGGAGCAAAAAAUCUACUACCUUCUAGGCUAUCCGUGUUUCUUGACUGGCAAACUGUCAGCACUUUAACCUGUUCAAACAUAAUAUAACCUUGGAAUUUCAAUAGCUUUUCACAUAUAAUAGGAACUACAGCAUACAUGUACAUCAAAUAACUCAGUUUUGUGAUGCACGACUGAUCAAAACCCUAACUCCAAUAUGCUUUAGUUGCAGAAUCUCAGAUUAAGAAAUUAAGGACCAAAGCAAGGAUGAAUAGUUCUAAACUGGUGCUGUACUAUACCCAUGUAUUGACAUAAAUGACAAUCCAGUUGGAACUCAACCUUGAAAAUUAAAAAGGUAAUGUGGAUAGAACAGAGCAAAUAAAAACUUCUGGUGAUCAAUGUAGAGAAAGCCUGAGAACAAAUAUAAUACAGGGUCAAAGUAAAAUUGAACCUAUAGCAUGCAAUGUUGAACACAUAAAUUAUCAGGUUGAAGCAAACUUGGGCCUAUCCGAACCAAGUGAAAACUCUCGUGAUGAAAAAUAAAAACUCUAUCGUUAUUCUUUUAAGUUCUUUCUUUUUUCCCCUUCCUGACAACUUAUUGCUUUUAAGUAUCUCCAUGGCAUAAAUUUCAGUUAUGCUAGCUAGGUGAUAACCUCUUCCUUUUUCUUUCUUUUUUUUUUUUUAGCCGUAGCCAGGUAAUAACCUCUAGUUUGAGAGUAAUAGCUUAGAAAUAAAAACAAACAGAAUUCUAAUGGCUAAGAGCUAGAAAAGACUUUUAAUGAGUACCAAAAAUAAAGACAGAGAAAGAGAGAAUUCAGAUUAGAAAGAGAUAUCAGCUUAGAGAAGUCUAACAAAGCCCACCUUUACAGAGUUUAUACGAUCCAUUAUUGCUUGAGAACGAGCAGCUAAAUCUUCAGUGAAUUCCUACAUGAAAAAGUAUGAGAGAGCGAGAGAGAGAGAGAGAGAGAGAGAGAGAGAGAGAGGUGACCAAGUCAUGCAUAUGUUAAAAUGUUACCUGAAACCCAAUAUGCAACCUCUUUCCACCUUUGUGGUAGGGUAUGAUAACAGGUCGCUUGCUGAUGUAUUCUUUACACACAAGUGGUUCAAUUCUGUAUUUAAAAACGAGAUAAGUUCUAUCAUGUGUCUCGAGAUCAAACAUGUACAAUUAAACAAGACAACACAAGAAAAUAAAAGAUAUGAGUGAUGAGCACAUAGUUGAUUUGCAUAUAUAUAAGAAUUUUCUGAUGACAUCAUGAGUACAAAUGAGCACUGUGUGCACAAUUAGUGAAAGCAACUUAGGCUAGGAGCCACUGAUAGAGAUUUAGCUGUGAAUAACUAUGGGCUUAGCAGUUUCGAGCCCACAUAUGAAUCCAAAGAAACAUAUGACAAAGAACGAAGAUGAGUUUGGCAUGUUACUUUGUCUUACAAUAAAUAUACGAAUAACAGAGAUUUUAAUCAUAUCAAAUUACAGGGCACACAGGGAUAUUUUCAAUAUGAAGUUUGGUUUGUGAAUUUUAUAAUCGUUUUCUGGGUCCAAUUUUCACUUUCGGGUGAUUUAAGCUACUAUACUGUGUGUCAACUAAGCAGUUGCUAAAUUGGUGCACUUUUUGGGGAAAAAAAAAUUCAAACCAAUACAAAGGGGGAAAAACCUAUAGAUUUUAAACUUUUAAGGACUGGAAUCUGCAAAUUAUAUACUGUGACCUGGAUCCCCAGUUUCCCUAUCUUCUUAUUUGCUAGUCAAUUGUUUGCAUUUUUGUGAUCAGCUUACUUCUUCUAAACCUACAUCCAUACUUCCAUUAACUUUUUUAUCCUCUGCAACAUUUCCUAAGCAAGACAACUCUUGGUGCCAUGAAGCAGGGGUUCUUACACUUUUGGCAAACCAAGUGUCAUAUAUUCAAGAAAAUGGUCAAGCCAUGCACUUUAUCUGCCAUAUCCACUAAGAGAAACGACGUCUGCAAAUGCUUCAAUGAAAACUGGAUUUCAUAUUAAGUAUUAUAAUCAAGAGAGCAGGACUGCAAAAGACCUAUAUGCAACAGGAUCAAAGGGGUGAAAUAUGUUGAACAAUUGCCGACAAGCUGGCAUCUCCUCACUUGUGUUUUCCUCUCCCCAAUAUUCUUUCCCCUUUCCUGAAAUAGAUAAGAUAGAGCACAUUAAAUCUUGGAUUUAGGUCUCAAAAUAUUCUUUCCCCUGCCAAUAUACAGUAUUACAACAAGCAUCACUUCAAGUACAGAAAAAGCCCCACUCAACAAAUCAACACAAAUAUCUGAAUUUCCAACAUUGAGAAGUUCAAAACACUGAGAAAAACAAUAGACACGGUUACAAGAACAAAAUCUUCUUAAAGUAUCCCAAUAUAACUAGAGACAGCAACACAGUGCCUUCACUAGAAUAUAGAAAUUAGGAAUCUGAGAAAGCAUCAAUAUGUAAAGCAUAUUAAAACAUAAUUAUUGAUCAUUACCAAUCCCAAUACGAAUGUUACGAAGGGCAAGGAAGACCCCAAGGGGUGAUCCAACUGCAAAGAAUGUAUCAACCUGAAAUAUGAAGAGUUAAAUUUAGCAAGUGACAAAGUCAAUGACAAAUUAUAUCUAUCAGACAUUUGCAUCCACAGAGUGAAACAAUUCAAUUCAUAUUCUCUAUAGAUACAGAUAUUUGAAUCUUUAUUUGUCAUAUGCUACUCUGUGAAAAUAGAAAAUUGACAGAUUUCUUGCACCUUGAAUUCAAGUUUUGUGUAGUUGAUAAAAGGGGUAUAACUCUUGGGUGACCCCUCUCCCUCAGGGGGCAAUUUCUCAGAUAGGGGCUGCUUUGGAAUAGUUGCAAGAACUUCAUCAUUUUCUGUUCAAGUUACGCAUAUGAAUGCAUGAGAGCUCCUUUCAUAAACUAGAAGCAAAAAGUAUAUGAAAUAAAUUAUUUAAAAAAUGUAAAUAUCAGGGAUCACCUCGAUACGACCCUGGACUAGUAUCUCUACCACCACAUUUGGCUUCCAAUUCUGCUAUUUUGGACUUUAGGGUAUCAAUCUGAAACAUAAAGAAUUUUAUUGAUUAUAUGCAUCGUAUACAAAGUGUACCCACAAAAGGCUAGGCAGAAUAAAUUAUCCAUUUACAUAUUCUCACCUCUUCCCUCAGCAAUUCGACUACUUUGUCUUUAUUGCUUGUUUCUUCGCAUACUUCUUCAACCACUUUCUCUACACCACCAACUGGUACUCCACAGUUUAUGCUUGUAGUUUCACUUGAGCCAUCCCCUCUAAGCAUGUUGCUCGAUUCGCAAACUGAUUCAUACACAUCUUUAUUACCAUGUGGUUGUUUCAAGUCCACUGACCUUGCAACAAAAUCGUUAGAAUCUGAUGUUUCGUGACCCACAACAGUCGAGGCAUCUUCAGCAUUUCCAUCCUCAUGUAUCAGAAGAGAUGGUUGUGCACUCAUAUUUUCAUCAUUAAAACCCAUCACGUCAUCAGUUUGAUCAUUUACAAAAGCAAAUGUAUCUCCCAAAUUAGUCGGAGUGUCAUAUGUAGAUUGAUUGUCCACACCAGGUGAAGAUUCUCCAUCUCUAUCAUGUUCUUUGAACAUCCAAUCCAUUGGAAAUGGGGAUGACAAAUUCUCCUGAUGACAAAGGAUAUCAUAGGAGAGGACACUUCCCAGAGAAUGACCAUAUAUGGAAACCUAUAUGGAUGUAAGAAUAACAUGAGAGGAGUUAAUUUAAUUCCAAACUUAUAUAGACAAAGCAUAACUAAAGAUAAUAGCAAAUGUUUUUCAGCUACAUACCUUUCCAUCAUAACCUGGAUUCCUCCUAAGAAAUUUCAAAUAUAACCGAUUUAAUUGGUUGGAUACCUGGUGAGAAAAAAUUUGUGUUCAAUGACAAUGCCACAAAUCCAAGAAUUAGAACAUUGAAAGACAGUAUCAUCCUGAGAGUAUCAUAAAAAUAGACACUGAAAGUUUAAAGACCAAAUGCACUACCGCGUUGAUAAUGUCCUGACAGUAUAUGGGACUCAUGUAGUAUAACACAUCAUGAACAGUUGCACUCAGCAUGACACGCAAACCCUUCACACCAUCUAAAGUACAUUUUUCGACUGCAGCUUCACCACUAAGCUUCAAGCCCUUUCUCCACUGAAAUGCAAAGAUCAGUAAGUUAGAGUAUAGUAAAAGCAACUGAACAAAAAACAAGAAAAUGAAAUGAGCAUAAAUUGCAUAUAAAAGGCACAAAAGGGAAAAAGGAAUGAAAAAGAGAAACAAAUCAAGUAGAUAGAAAAUAAGCUGGAUAUCAUAGAAAAGAGAUUGCUUACCUGGCAUGGGAUAAAAAGAACCCUUUGAGUGUCACGUUGGCGUGAAGUAAGGUGUGUUUCAGCAAGACUUGCAGUUAUAUGGUGAAAUUCACCAACAUCAUCAACUAAAUUGGAUUUCUCCAAUCUUUGACCAAUUCCAUGAACCAUGAACACAAGGUGUCGAACAGGAACCUAAAUCAAAUGUGCAACAUCAAACUUAUCACUUUCAAAAAAAUCAACAAAAACAAAAUGAAAUGAAAGCUGACUGCUGCACACAGCCAGUUUUUAGGAAACAAAAAUUAUGGACUGGCUAUUUAAUAAUAUACUCAAAGACUGCAACAAACUCAAGGAGUGUGCAUUUUUCUUUUCUAAGAAAACAAAAGAAAGAAAGAAAAGCUUUACAGACAAGCUUUAGGUGAAUUAAAUUUUGCGCUUCAAUUAUGCAGGCUAUCAAUCAGAGUGACCACCCUUAACUUUCCUAGCAAAAUUAAUAACAUAAAUUUGUUACCUUGAAACCAAGUAUCAAGACCAUAGAAGUUAUGGCUUAACCACCUUUAACAAUCUAAUAGGCAAAAACAAUUAUCCUAAAAUUCUGGGCCACGUGAUUCUAGUUCAUUGAUGGCUGAAUUUUUUUUAAGAUUAACAUCAUAGAAAUUGGUUAUCAAACUAGUCAGUUGCACUAAUCUUCAGCCUGCACUUCUUUGUACAGGGGUCCUUGGUAGAUAGCUUUAAUACCACAACCUACCAAGGAUUCUCAGUAAACCAUAACAAGAAAAACCUUAGAAUUUGUAACGAAAUCUAACUCAGGAAGCCGAGGUAGCCUUCUCCCAGCUGUGUUCAUACCUAUAGAUUACUAAGCGCUGUACAUUUGGCAGGGAAGAACACACAUAUAUUAUGCACAAGUUGAAUGAAGACAAGAAUAUACUGAAAGAACCUCAAGAACAAGAAUAAAAGCAACCCUUUUUAUUUGAUAAGUGAAAACGUAUACCGCUGAGCAAUAAUCAUCCAUUUCCUCCUCCUUCUGCUGUCGUAAUUCAUUCUAUAAAAGAAAAUGGUUGUGAGAAAGAUGACAGGUUAUUUUUCUGUUUCCUUAAUGCAUAAAGAAGACUUUCCUUAUGCUGAAAAUGAUAAAACUUUUGCAUGGUAGAAAUCAUAACAGAGCAAGAUAACCUAGUUUUGAAGCCAAAUUUCACAUAAAAACAGGACAAGAAGAAACAUAGACAACUCAGGGGACCAAACAAACAUACAGUUAAUAAAUCAAUAACAAUCGUGUAUCUGCUACGCUACAAAAUAUUUGAACAUAACUGCCUAACCAAACCCCACUACAUCCCCAUACCAUCAAGACAUUCAAUCACACAUAAAACCUAUUAUCAUGGUAGCAAAGGUAAUUGUUUCUGCUGUUUUUUAUUUUUUGUCCCUUUCAUAUCGUUACCAUUAUUACACCUAAAACAUAUAGAAAAGAUUUAUAACACUCCAGCUCAGAAAAUACAUUUCCUAACUCUGUAAACAACAACUGAAGUAUUUUUCAUAGACGCUGAAGAUGACCGCUACAUCCAUACUAAGUGAAAAAUAACAUUUUAAUUGGUCUUUUAUAAGUUAAAAUAGAAUGAUAAAAUCUAGGAGCAAAGUACCAUGUGUGCCUUGCUUAAAUAGUUUCAGUAAAGCUGAGUGAGAAGCAAGUUUCUUGUAAGUUUAUGAAAAAUCUGAAAGUUUACAAUUACACCAGUUCUUGAAUAGAAUCCAUUUACAUAUUCAAACAUCCAUUACAAUCCAAACUAUAGACAUCACCAGAUUAAAAUGAUAUCACGGGAAAAGUUCACAUAGCAAAGUACCAAGAAGAAACUACAAACUAGCAUUAACAACAAAUAUGCAUAAGUGGAAUACUCAAAUAAAUCACAUGAAUCUGAGACUCAAGUCAAAUACUCAAAAAAGGUAUAACCUUGAAAAAAGAAAAUAUUGAAGGCAGUGUCAGAUAUUAUCCCAUCAAGUAUUGAUCAGGGAAAAAAUAGAUACCUGGGUGGGUUUUGAAGUGUAAGAUGCGGAAUAUCCACGCCUUAACUUCAUUCCAUUUCCACCUAAAGUAAUGAUACUAGAAAAACCAGAAGCAUCCAUAUUGAGCCAAGCCUCCCAAGUAUUAUCUUCUCCUGUGAAAAGCGCAUGUAGUCCCUAGAAGUGCAUCCCCAGGACGUGUUUAAGAAUACAAUAAUAACAUUAUAAAAUCUUUUCUCCAAAUAGCAAUACACAUACAGGGGUAGAGCCUUGCAAUUCAACCCGAGCUGCAAAAAGUCCAGACGGCUGAAACAUUCGCCGGUGCCAAACCUGGAGAUAAAAAGUCCAACUUCACCUACUUAUGCCGAUCACCUUGUAUACCGAGUGAGGUGCAGGACAUGUUUCAAAGUCUAAAAGAAAGAGUACAUGUACGAGGGACAGAUUGAAAUAGUCUUAAAAUCAUUCCAUGAAUCUAAAAUUUGGUAUGUUUCAAGCAUAAAAUAAUGCACUGAAUCAGCAUAAAGUAAGGCAGUUAUCACACUCUCUGACACAUAAACUCUGGAUAGAAAUUACCAGUUAGACAGUGAGCAGAACAUGUAUAAACUCCACCUUGUCAGAAACAUGGUCAUUUAAAGUAGCACAUAUCAAUGCUGCUGCUAACCUGGCUACGAUAAGCAAUCUCCAAUUGUUCAGAAACAUCUUCACGAAGUGGCAGCCAAUCAGCCCCUUUACGAGCAAACCAGUGACCUCUUAAGACGCGCCGGUUUUCUCCAUCCCAAUAGACAGGGAAAGAAUGCCGCUUCACUAAAUCUACCUGAAAUGAUUGCAUGACUAUGCCAACUCAAAUCAAUCGUGUCUACAUCUAAAAAGUAGUUGGAAUUGGUUCAUUUCACUUUGAAGAUACACUCCAGACUAAGUAAACAAGUAGUGACUUAGAAUGCUAAAACAAAAUAAGACUUCUGCUGAAAUUCAUAGAAAAUCUCCCUCGCAUUAGCUCAGUUAGAUUCAUCAACAACCAGUACUUAAAGAACAUCACAAGAGACUAUGAAUCCCACGAUGCAAGUUAGCGAGUUGAUUAGUACUAGAUAGCUACAUUUUCAGGUCCAUAGGUACUUCUUCUCACUUUAAAUAGUAAGUUCACAUCCCCGAGAAAGAAACCAACAGAAGACUAACAAUAGUUAAGGUAGACAGUCUCUAUCAAGUCUUUACACUGACACAGACAAAAUUGGAAACAUAACUCAUACCUCAUAAAGCCCUCCCUUAACAGGAACACCAACUCUUUCUUCUUCCACUUUAUAUAAUUCAGCUGACCGACCCCUCUCUAGAGAAGAUAAAAUUUCCCGCUCAGCCACCUUCUUACUGGAACUAGGUCGCUCUUUUGGACCUUCGCUACAUUCCGCAUACUCUCUCCACCAACAAGAAAGCAACUCUUCCUCCCUCUAUAUGCACAUGCAAAUUCAACCACCACGUGAUUAGAAUAACUCUAAGAUAAAAAUAUCACAAAAAACGCAAGCUUUAAGACAUUACCAACCACCAACCCACCUGCAAAAAAGAUGCCUCAAUUGCCAGAGAGUCUCUCUUACCAAAACGAAAAUAGCCGCCUUUUCCCACUAUCUCAGUGCGAGGGACUGAAGCAGCCAUCUCUGCAUGAUCACAGAAACAGAAGAUUGUCAAUUGAGAAGUAGAAACACACACUAAAACUCGGUAUUUCAAUGUUCGUGGGAAUCCAAUUACCAUUCACUGCCAAAGGGACUUUGCAAAAGUACCAUCGGACAUCGCUACCAUCGGACGGGCUUCUAGUCUGCGCUAGAUACUUCUGGUGGCCCUUACACUGAUCAAUCUCAUCUUCCAAUCUCCGGAUGUUCGACGGCGUGUUCUUCAGCAUAUCAGGGAACGUUUCUUCAGCUACACGGUUUGCCUCCGAAUCCGCCAUACCCAUACUCCACACCAAAGAAGAAAGAUGUGCUUUUUCCUUUUGUUUUUUGUUUUUUUUUAAAUUCCCCAACUCCACGUUUUCAUUUCAUCUCAAAACCCUAACCUGGUGCAAUAGAUGAAAUUAAAGAGGGUAAAAUGGAGGUAGAAUUUUGGAGUGGAAUUGGGAAUUUGAGAAUUUCUGGAAACCGAGAUUGAAAGGGAAGUGCGAGAAAGUUGAAUGCAAAACCCCAAUGUUUGCGGGAAUUGCUAAGUAAGAAUGUGGAAAAAUCAUGACCAAGAAAGCAAAGCUGCAGAGAAAGAAAACGCAACUCUUCAGAAGAAUGACAGCUCGCUCUCGGGGUUGAAUGGCAGGUGGAUUGCAACAGCUGCAUCACAUAGAAAUGGCGGUUGCGUGCUUUUCCUUUUCUUUUUUCUUUUUUUUCUUUUUUGGGUUUUUUUUAAAAACACUUUGCCAUCUUGAACUUUUCAAUUUGUCUUUGAGCCCUAAUCUUUCAAAAGAUGUCAAUAUACCCCUUUCCGUCAAGUUUGUUAACUCAUUUGUUAAAUUGAAGGGCAUUUUUAUCCAUAAGUUAGAAUUCCGUUUAACUCAUUUAAACCUUAUUUGGUUCGAUUCAUCUUUUUUUGGGAGCAUUUUUGCUCAUCACUUUAACUAAAGGUGUAUGCUCACGAGUCACCAUCACUUUUAAAGCUUGACACCUAUCCCAUAGUUAACCUUAAUUAAUUUUUAUAUGAAAAUUAAAUAAAUAAAUAAAUAAGAGCUCAUAGUCCAGCACACAUCCCGAUUCUCUCCCCCUUUUUUCUCCUUCCCCUUUUUAUAUAUAAUUUCUUUCCUCGUGGGCCGACUCCUCUGUUAUCUUCUCUCUUCUCUCUCCUCCUCUUCCCCCCACUCUCUCCCUCUUCGCCUAAAUAUUUCCAUUCGGAUUUUCAGAAUCCGCAUUUAAUUUUUUCUUCUACAUCAUCAGCUGUAUUGCAAUUUACACUUUUCUUUUUCUUUUCUUGUAAUCAUAUUUAAUUUUGUAAUUUAAUAAUUAACUACUAUUAGUAUCGUGGAAGGAAAUUGGAGACUCCAUUAUUAUAGCAAAGCGUCUGUAUUUGUUUCCAUAUUGAAAUCCAUACGCAUGCAUAUGCAACUUCUUUAUAGUAUUCGAUUGGAAAUUACAUAAUUACUUGAUUUACGUUGGUUCCUAAUAAGAACAAGAAAAUGGGAAGAUUAUGUGUUUUUUUCUUAAUGAACUAAUCUGCAUUUAAAUUUCAUUGAUCAAUCUAAUCAUACUAAGAUCACAAAAAGCUUAACCUCAAUAAGAUCAACCAUGCGGGACCCUGUAAUGAAAAUUUAAACAGAGAGACAGAGAGAUACAGAUUGAGAGAGGGAGAGAAAAGAGAGAGAAGGGUCGGGGGGAGGAGGAGGAAAUAAAUGUUUUAUAAAAAGGGAAAAGAGGAAAAAUGAGGAGAGAAUCGGGCUGUGGGCUCUUUUAAAUUUUUUUUUUUUAAUUUUCAUUUAAAAGUUAACUAAGGUUAACUAUGGGACAUGUCAAGCUUUAAAAGUGAUGAUGAGUAUAUACCUCUAGUUAAAAUGGUGAGCAAAAAUGCUCUCGUUCCUUCUUACAGACCUAUUUUCAUCCAUAAAAGCUUCAUUUUUACUUUUUUCAUGUCCAUUCAAAAUAUGAUUUGAAUGGAAGAAUCAGUAGAGUCAAUUAGUGUAUAAAUUGGUCAUAGGGGUGCAAGUUUGUUUGAAAAAUCCGAUUCUAACAAAUUUCGUUUUGAAAAUUUACGAUUUUGACAAGUCCAAAUUAUUCCGACAUAUAAAAGUUUCAAAAUAUGAAAAUUUUGAUAAAAAUUGAAAUGUAUUUAGAGAUUCUGAAAAUUUCCGAAUUCCAAAAUAUAUGCGGGUUCCAAGCGUAGAUUACACACAAUUACAUGUUGAACAAAAUAUAAUUUGAUGACCAAUUAGACAUAGACAAGUUAUUUCAUAAAGGAUAACAACAUCUAAGUAGUAACAUAUAAUAGUUGUCCAAGCUUACGGUAUGAGUUUUCAAUUUUGAGUCAAUUUUAAUCCUUCAAAUGGUUGGGCAUGUUUAGAAAUUUGAAAUAGUUUUCUAAAUUUUCUACAAUUUUUGAGUUUUUUGAAAUAGAAUCUAUAUUGAAAUUUUAAAUUUUUUUGAAAAGAAAUUGGAAUUUAAUUUUCAUUCGAAAUUUUUUUGAAUUGGAAUUGAAAUGCCCUGAUUUUGAUUCGAUUUGUCCGAAAAUCAGCCAUAAUUGGUCAGAUCAAAUCCGAACUUGAAUAUAUACAAAAAGCCCUGAAUUUGAUAGAAAAAUUAUGAAACUUGACGGAGGGGGCAUAUUGACAUAUUUUGAAAAAUCAGGGGCAUUGCUAAAUUAUUUUGUUAUAUUUUACUCUUUAUUAUUUGGGCCAAAGAACAACCCGAACAGCCCAUUGAUAAAUGUUGAAUUGGGCCUGUAGGCCCAAUAUAAAGCUAACCCUAAAAUUGAUUUGGGUGGGUCAGAUUAAAAUAUAUUGGGGCCCCACUCUAUAUAAGGCCUUAAACCCCUCAACCUCACACACACCGCCACAGUCGUAUCCAUUCUGAUCAACUCCCUCCAUAUCUCACCCACUCAAAACCCUCUGGCCUCUGUGACACGCAUUAAUUGAAACCCUAGAUUCGUGCCCCGACUGAGCUAAUCAAGGGGUUUUGGUUCCACUUUUUCCAACUCGGUAGUUUGGAAUUUCAGUGAGCCCUAUGGCUGAGGAGGAGGUUGUGGGAGCCGAGGCGGGAAGCCCUAAGCCGUCGGAUCACAAGCGGAAGCUGGAAGAUUUGGAGCCCGAAGCGCAACAGGAGAUAGUUGACCUCACCUCCGACGGGCCGGAUGAUUUGAAUGUGGAGCCCGAUGCGGCCAAUGAAGUGGAUGUGCCGCCUUCAGAUGAAUCUGAAGCGAAAAGGCCUCGUCUUGAAGACAAGCCCGAUGAAAUAGGUAUUUAGCUAUUGAUUUUUAAUGAUUGGGGUUUUUGCUAAAAGUUUUGGGUCUGAUUUUUCUGGGGUAAUAUAAUGUCACAUUCUUAUGGAGCUAGUUUCAUGAUAAGAAGUACUUUUAACAUUUUACAAAAUAAACAAGUGCCAUGCACUUUUGAUAAAGAAUUAAUUUUACUAGUUCUUUAAUAUUGGCUUUGCACAAGAUAAACAUGGGCUAGUAUUUAUAAUUCAAUAUAACAUAUUAUUUGGAUUUUGAAUUUGAUAAAAACAGCCAAUGAGAAUGGCUACCAAGAGGAGAAGGUAGAACAACCAGAAAAGGAGAAUGAGGAUCAGCUGAAUGUUGAUAGUGGCCAUUCAGAGCACCCUCAGCCUCCUUCUGUGGAAGUUACAGAAUCAGUGAAGGACCAGCAAAAACCCGAAGUUAAUGAACAACAUUAUGAUAUAAAUGGUGAACAAAGUGAGACCCAAAAGCCUUCUGAGAAUUCUGUGGCGGAAGAUGCUCAAGAACCCCCUCAAGAGGUGUCUCAACCACACUACGCUGAGGAACCUCAGCAAGGUGACGCUUACACUUCCGCAAAUCAUAAUUUGACACACAAAAUGGAGGUUCCUAAUAAUAAGGUCAGCUGGUUAUACCCAUAUUAUGUUGUGUUGUUAACAUUCAAACAUUUUAGGAGGUAACACCCGGCAUAUGAGUAUUGGCACCCCCUGCAUUCUUGCCUUGAUUGUUAGGCAUGUUGUGUACAGUUUGAUUAUCAUGCGUUGACCUUUCUUCUGAAACAAAAUCUGAUAAUUUUGGGGAGCUCUGAGCUUCCAGUUGGUCCAAAUUCGACUUUUAACAUUUUUGGAAUUCUAUUGUAAAACCUAGUUGAAAAUAAAGGCCUCUGACAAAAGCAUUUUAUAAAUAUUUGUGCAGGUUGGGGUUCUAAUUGGCAAGGCCGGGGAUACUAUAAGGUACUUGCAAUACAACUCUGGAGCAAAAAUUCAGAUAACAAGGGAUUCUGAUGCAGAUCCAUAUUCUGCAACCAGGCCUGUGGAGAUAAUAGGAAGUUCGUUUAGCAUAAGCAAAGCAGAGAAGCUUAUAAAUGCUGUUAUUGCAGAGGUCGUUUGCUUUCUCUGACUUAGUUUUGUUGUGUUUUCCAAAACUUUCAUUGCUCUUAUAAGUUUUUGCAUUUGGAGAUCGGAAUUUUUUUUAAUGCUGAAUAAGGUGUACUCUUUUGCAGGCUGAUGCAGGGGGUUCUCCUUCUUUGGUGGCUAGGGGUGUUGCUACUGCACAGGCUGCUGCAGCCGCAGAACAAAUUCAGAUACAAGUUCCGAAUGAGAAGGUGAUAACCAUUUCUUGCACGUGUAAAUGACCUGUGCCUUUGCAUUCCAUAAUACUUUAUAUAAGACAAUAUUUUUCUUUGCUAGGUUGGCUUGAUAAUAGGCAGAGGUGGGGAGACCAUUAAAGGUCUGCAGACCAGAUCGGGGGCACGUAUCCAGGUAGUUGAUAUUGUAUGCCUUGCCUUUAUGCAUGGAAACAAAAUGUUGCAUGUUUUUUCUUAUUUCAACCCAUCCUUACUGACCCAACCCUUUUACCUGUUAUUUAGUUGAUACCCCAACAUCUCCCGGAGGGGGAUGAAUCUAAAGAAAGGACAGUGCGAGUAACUGGUGAUAAGAAGCAAAUUGAGGUGGCAAGAGAAUUGAUAAAGGAAGUUAUGAAUCAGGUUACCUUUUGACCCUCUUUAAAAUAUUUUUAUAGGUCUUUAAAUUGUGAUUGCGAUAUAUAGGAAUGAUAUUGUGUUGUUUACUUUGUGCGAGCAAAAUUGUGCUUUCAUCUACAUUGAACUAUUGUUAGUGUAUGGUGUUUGAGUUCUCUUGUGCCUUGUCCCUUUUUCUGAUCUCAUAUACCUGCUUGGCAUGUCCAUGUACAACAAAUGAUUGGAUAAUGUGUAAAAGCAUGAGGUUUAUGUAACUCCUGUGCAUGUAUUUUCGAAUGCUACUUGGGAGUAUGCCUGCACAAUGACAGUCUUGCUUCUUUUGUAAUGUUAUCGUCAACCAGGUCCUACACUCAUCGUGAUAGAUUUUCUUUGAUCUUGUGUAUGUAUACCUGUUGGAUUUAAUGAGCUUCCUAGUCAUGUGCAUGGCGUCACUCCUUUUGCAUUGGGCAUUAGAUGUAAUGUCUGUUUCAGUCUGCCACAUGUUAAUGACAAAUCGUGGUGUAUGUUCACUUCGGUUGUCUACUGAUCUAUAUUUUCAGGAAAUAAUAUAUUUUUUUUCCCAAAGAAGGAAUUAUAUGAUAAUUUUGAUAUAGCAGAGUCGUCUGUUGCUUUCAUGGUACUGUCUCAAAUAGUGUGGUAGUAUGGAUAAUUACUUGAAGGUUAGUAUGCGGACAAAAUAUUCUUGAUUGGAGCUAUCUUAAGAUAGAAUAGACAAGUAUGGUUAUUUAGAUUUCUUGAGUAAAAGUAAACCUGAGGUAUGUGGAUGUCUUGAUUCCUACCAAUUAUUGUCGAAGAUACAGAUAAAAGUAUAAAAAUUUAGUUGAAUUGUAUGUGUCCUAUGCAACAGUUGAUCAAUUUUCUCAGAAGACUGGUUAAGUAGAAAUUCUGUAUCUUUUGAUGAUGUGCCACAUACGUUUAUGGUUAUGGUAUGAUUAGAUGUCCAGUGAACUGUACUUGCAUGCCUGUGACACCUUUUGGUCCAUUUGAGGAAGAAUUAUUACAAUAUUUUGCCAUGGGAAUGAGAGCAUGACCAAUUGCCCCUAAGAGUUUGCAAUAUUGAUGAAUGAUCCAUGCCAAGGUCACUUAAAUGCUUUUAGGGAGAUCAAUAUAUUCAAUCAAAGAUGCCGGUUGCCAUGAUUUAUUUGUGUUGAAGGUGCCAAUUUCGAAUUGGUUGGCUUUAAAAAUGCAGAUUUGGCUAUUGCAUUUUCCAUGGGGUCAGCAUUGCCUAUACAACCACUAUUCACUCUCAUCCACCGAAGAAAGGUAUCUGGCAUUUAAUCUCGCGAUUGCAGGAUGUUAAUAGUUGGUAAGAUUGCUUUGAGACCUGAAAGUUGAAAUCCUAAUUCAGUAAGACUAUAUUGCAUUAGCCUUAGCGCUCAUAAGCACCUCCCAUAUACUAUGCAUGAGACGUCUAUGGAAGAAAUUGUUAUUCCUGGUCACUUGAUGCUACAAAAGAAUUUGUAUGGAACCAAUAGUGCAUCAAUUUGUGUUUGAUGCUAUGAUGAUGUUUUCAAACUGUGGUACAUGUCUUAUCAUAUGUAUCAAGGUGUAGUGGCAUUGCUAAAGCUAGGAUUGAUGCUAUAAUGUAACAUUAUUACGUCUAUACUUUGUUACCCAUUUGACCCGACUUGAUUUGAUGCUGAAACAUGCCGCAUAUAUACAUCAAGUAGAAUUAGUAUGCAUUGAAAGAGCUGAAAUAUCAAUCUAUGAUGUUUCUUGCUAGACACUUUUGAAUUCUUAAUUUCCCUGUUAGUCUAAUGCUGUGGCCUUAUAGAUACCCACUCUUCAUCUUGACUUGUCGAUUUUUUAAAUAUACUUAGUCUAUGCUGUAAUAAAUUUGGGACUUCUCGACUGGGGCAUUACUGAGAUACAUGGAUGGAAGCUGCCAAAGGGGUUGCAGUAUAUCUCUGGCAUGAAUUUUACUUACCGUAUGUCAAAUUUCUGAGAAUAGCCAGAUAAAUUUCUUAGAGCUUUGAACUUAGAAAGACCCAAGAGUAUACUUUUUGGUGACUUUCAUAUGAUGAGUUGUUUGAUGCCCUACUACUUGCCUCUUAUAUUUGCAGCCCUUUUGAUUUGGAGUAGUUUGUUUCUAUUUAGAGGAACAGUUUGUAGUCUCAGACAUAAAUUUUCUGUUAUGGUUGUUAAUAGUAAUUUGACAUUGUAUUUUUUGCUAAAGUAACCCUUGUUCCCUAUAUCCGUUCAUCUCAUUCGGUCAAGACGAUGCUCAGGAGCCCCUCAAAUUUUAGGAACAGGAGAUGUGGCUAGAGCAGCAACUUCUCCAUUCAUUUUACUAUUUGAAUGUGGAACUAUUGUUUCUAUAUAUUGAUUGUUUCGUUUUGUGAUUUCCUUUGAAUAGACUGUGAGGCCAUCACCUCUCUCCAGUGGUUUUAACCAUCAGGGUUAUCGGCCCCAUGGACCAGGUGGUCCUCAAUGGGGUCCACGAGGGCCUCAUCUACCCCAGCAAUCUACCUAUGAUUAUCCGCAACGAGGACCAUAUCCAUCCCAUAAUCCUCAUUACCCUCCUGCAUAUGGAAGUUAUCCUCAACAUAUGGGUCCAAGAAGUGGCUUUGGAUCUGGUUGGGAGCAAAGGCCACCUCCUAGCAUGCAGGGGAUGCCUCCGCAUGGUGGUGGUUAUGAUUACUACAGUGGACAAGGACCUGAUGCCCCAGUAUCUGCCCAACAUUCUGCUCCUGUUCCUUCUCAUGUUCCUGGCCCUUCUCCUAACCCUACAAUGGCCCCACCCCCGUCUCAAGCAAAUUACAAUUAUGGACAGCCACAUGGUCCAGAUUAUGGGCAUCCAGCACCUUAUUCCCAGACUGCACCUCCUCAACAUAGCUAUGGGCAUGGGUACGAAGAACCAAAAUACGAUAAUCAUGCUCCAACACAGCAUCCCUAUGGAGGGCAUGGGACUUCUCAGCCAUAUCCACAAACUGGAGCUCAGCCAGGUUAUGGUCCACAGCAGCAUUAUGGCAAGCCACAAUCAUAUGGCAUGGCAUCACAGGGGCCAGCUCCCCAGUCUUACGGCCCUCCUAGGGCUGGUCAACCAGGAGACGCAACUUAUCAGGGUGCUGCACCAGCUCAAUCAUAUGGUCCGAAUGUUCCAGCCCAACAGCCAUAUCCGUAUGCAUCUAGUGUGCCUGCGCAGCAGACCUAUCCUACAUAUGGUUCUGCCCCAACUGAUGGGUAUAAUCAACCACCGCCUGUCUCUGGCUCAGGAUAUCCACAGCAAGGAGGACAACCGGUUAGUUAUGGCCAGCCUGGUGCGCAGCAGGCACCCGGCUAUGCACAAGUGGCUCCUACUGCAGGGUACACGCAAUAUGCAUCUACUCAACAAGGUUACACUGAGCAGUCUGCGCCAAACGCAGCAGGUUAUGGGUACCAAGGGUCUCAAGACCCCGGAUAUGGAGGUGUCUCUGCAUCAACCUAUGGUGCCCCAGCAGCUGUGCAGCCAGGUUAUGCCCAACCAACAACCCAACAAAGUUACGAUCAGUCAGUCCCACAGUCUGCUGGUUAUGGAGCUGCGCCAACUGCUUCAGCUGGUUAUGGGAAAACAGUUUCACCUCAGCCUGGUUAUCCUCAGUAUGACUCGAGUCAAAUGUAUGCUGCUGCACCGCGCUGAAUAUACUAAUCUAGUUUUCUUUCUUCAGAGAGCUUCAUGUUGUGAUUGAUGCCAGGUUCGUUUUCCUAGCAGUAGUUGUUAGGCCUAAUCUGACUCGGUCGAACUUUGCAUGUACUGUUUCUAUUGAUGUAAUGCAGCGCUAAUGCUUUAUUAAAUUGUGAACCCUGACCAUGAAUGAUACAAUUUAUGAAUUGAUACAAUAUAUAAGGGUCGCGUGGUACGAUCCUGUAUAAAAUUCUUAUUAUCCUGCAAUGCACAUUACCAAUCAGAUGACAAAUUACAAGGAGUAAAUUGGAGGCAAUUGAAAACCUUAGUAUCAAAGGGGAACUCUGCGAAAGUUACAGGAACUAAAAACGUGCCUUGGCGCAAAUACGAGUUAGAUUAGUUAAGCAGGCGGUACCCGUGUUCGAAUACCUUUACAUAUAAAAAACGUAUUUUGGCCAGAUCCGUACUCAUUUUCCCCAUAAUUCUGAGUGACAGACUGAUUAAAGGUGGUUAACGUUUGUGCAGCAGGAUCGAAUUGGGCAGUGGACACAAUAAAUAAAUAAUCAGACUGAAUCAUGUGAUAUAUGAUAUUACAUCACGUCUAAAUGAAAACAAUAAAUUAAAUAUGAGAUCAUGUGGGGGUGGGUGGUGUGGUGUAGAAAAACUAGUGUGAAAUAGGAAUAACUUUGUUUUGCUAUGCGCGCCAAUAAAGAUAUAUUAAGUAAAAAAGUUAUUAAUUGUGUCAUAUUGCGAUUGACCGAAAUAACAAAACAGUGUUAUCAAUUAUACACAAGUGUUUCUCAGUGUGGUAGGGUAAAAAAGUAGAGAAGGGUAUAGUGAAGUGUUAUGUAUUUAUCCAUUCGAGGUGUGUGGGUGUGUCUAAAAUGGAACAGCAACAGGGUUUCAGCUUUCUCUGUGUACCAAUUUGUAUAAUUGUAUGGAAACAUAUCUUGUGGGAUACGCAACAGAACUGCCCUGACAUACAUUUCGAACACCUGACAUCUUCAAUUCAUUUAUUAUCCUACUCCAUGUCGUCACUUCCGCAUCAAAAACUCACUCACAGUCUUUUCCUACAAAAUUAAUAAUACAGCAGAUUAAUUUGGCAUUCUCUAUUUACUAUCUUGUGAGAUACUUUUAUUUUAUUUUUUCUUUUACACAUACCUUCACCCCAAAAUAGGGAUAUUCCUUCAUAUAUCAGUUAUUUUAGUAAUAUUUUUGUGUAUUUCAUUUAGUGUUCGUUUGGUAUUUUUUAUUUGGGAUAAUAAGUGAUUUUUUUUUUAAAUUUAGAAAGCUCAAUCCGUUUGGUAAACUAUCAGAAAAUCACUUAUUGUUAAAAAUUGUUGUGAGAGAAAGUUAUAAGGGAAAGUAGCUAAUGAGGUGUUUUCGUUUUCUAAUUAUGUCGGAAUCAGUUUCAAAGAUGAGCUGGGUUUAAUGAAAUUUAUAAACUUUCGAAAAUACCCCAAUCUAUUUCACGCAAUCUCUUCUCUUCAUGCAUUUUCUCUUUUGCAUCCCUUUGCUUAUUCACGCCAUCUAUUUCACAGAGUUCUCCUUUUCUUGAAUAUCUUCUAUUCUUCCUAUUAUUUUUUCUUGUUGAAUCAAUUGAAGCAUACUCUUGAGAAGCCACAAGACUCAAGUAAGAGGCAUAUUAUGUUUAUUUCUUCUCAAUCUCAUUCUUUCCUCUUUCUCUUUAAUUUCUAGGGUUUUAACUAUAAAUUUCAUUCCUCACUCUCUCUUUAAUUUCUAGAGUUUUAACUUCAAUAGUUGUUGCUGUUGAUUUUUUUUUUCUUUUUCCGUUCCUGUUUUUGUUUCUUUGAUAUAAAAUUUAUUUUUAAUGGAAUAUAUUGUAUUUAACUUGAAACAUUAGUUUAGAGCAUUUGAAUACAAAUAUUUAAUUUUCAACAUAAUACCUUAUUUUUAGUGUAGGAUGGAUUGGAAACAUAUUUGAUACAAAUAUAUAUAUAUAUAUAUAUAAAGUGAAAGUGCUUACUCUUUUAUCAAAGACUUUAAUAGAAAAUCCAUUUUAAUAUAAUCCCUUUUUUAGUCAUUAUGCACAGUUCACAACACUUUCGCAAAAAAAAUAAAAAUAAAAAUUACCAAACAUUUAGAAACUGAUUAUUGUACCAAAAACACUUUUAACAAACAGUUUACCAAACGUCAAACUGCUUUCUCUCACAGCAAAUCCGACUAAGAUUAUUUUCACAGCAUAGCAAUGCCAAAAUGGCCCUUAGAAUUUUGUUAUUUAUAAUCUCAUUUUACUAACCAUCAUCUUUUAUCAAAUUAAUAAAAUAGGGACAUUCUCCUAUAAGUAUUUAAGUUAAUGAUUGGUUACUUACUUAUAAUUUCGGCAGUUGGAUUCCAUUUAAGAGACUAUCAACACAUUUAAUGAAUGCAAUCCAAUGACCAAUAUUAGAAGUAUAUAAAUAAUCCAUAACAUAAAAUAAAAUACUUUCUGGAGAAUCUCCCAAUAAAAAUAUAACUAAAAAGUCAGUUGCAAAAAAUGGGGAAAUAAGCAACUGUUAUUUCUGUACAGAACACAUUCACACCAAAAAUACCAAGAAGAACCCAAAAAAAGAAAAAAGAAAGAAACCUUCAUAAGAGUGUACAGAUAAAAGUUUUUCUGUUUUUUUUUUCCUCUAACAAUUCAUAAUUGUUAUUUACCAAAUAAUGGAAGAUUAAACAUGGAUGGGCUAAUACUAGGAUAAAAAACAGUCAAGGGUUGAAGAGCAAAUCCCCACACUUGCAUUUCCAGCUUAUAGGCUUAUAAUUUGUAAUGUCAUCGCCUCUGGAGUAAGCUACAUUCUUGGGGCUUGUUCUGGUGGAAUCAGGGAGGCUGCCAUGGCUUCUGAUUUUACUGUGGCCUUGGACUUGGGGGGAAACAGGGACCUGAACUGCCACACAAUGCCCACAAGCACUGCACCUGCUCUCACACCUUGGUGGUCUUGAUCCUAUUUGACGUGCGUUGACCACCACCCCAGCUUCAUUUUCCUCAAGAACAUGACCUCUCUGCGUAAAUAUAAUUAUAAAAACUCAGUCAGGAAUCAAUUAACACUCUGGUAUAGAGUUUGCAGACUUCAUAUUCAACUGGUAGAAAGAAGCAAAUUAGCAAUAGCAUAGACAUAUAAUAAUGUCCGGACAUCCGCAUAGGAGAAUUUAUUAUGCAAAUUAGCAAUACCACAUAUAUAUAUAUAAUAUGAAGUCUUACCGGAGCAGCCUUAGUAAGCUUGCUUGAAAUUAGUCGAGCACCUGAAAAAGAAAAAAAGAAACAGAACCCAUGUUAGUUUUGCUUUUUCUUUUGAACAAAGAGGGUUACAUUAGCGAAUGAAUUUGAACAAUGGGGGAGGAGUUGUUAACCUUCAGCCAUGAAUCUCAGAUGGGUCGAGCUUGAAACCAAGAGUAGGAAGAUGGAAAUGAUUAGAUGUCUAUUUCUGUGCCAACAGGCGCAAUUUUGAGUGCUGCCCAUUUUUCAGAAGUGGGUGGAGAAGAAGAGAGCAAGCGGCCGCAACCACACCAAACCUAGAUGAGAGCAGACAAGUCGUAGGGAGGUAAAUAAAAAUCAAAGUAAAUAUAUGGUAGAGAGAGAGAGAGAGGUGAUCAGGGUGGCAGUGUUUGCAGGAAUGAAAAUUUUCUGAAAAGUGUAAGAAGAGAGGUUUCAGAAAUUGAAUGCCAGCUUCAUAAUGCAGAAAGACUACUCUAUUUUUUUCCUUUUUCACCCCCCAACUCUGUAGAUGUAUAUGUAUCAAUGAGGGAACGUGGAGCGCAGAGGCAGAGUACAAAGGGAGAGCUCAAACGAAAAAGGGAAGGACCUCAGCCUCGUUUCAUGAGCCUCCCAAAAACCAGGUAAUUUGUACAAUUAUGAUUUAUGUUUUAAAAAAAAUUAAAUAUAAAAAAACUUUUCUGAGUUGCAUUGCAUGCAUAAACUUAUUAUUAUUAUUAUUUUAAAGAUUGACAGAUACAUACGGAACGGACAGGGCAACUGUUGGGAGAGGCCUCCUCUCUCUCUGCAUGUAUGAGAAAUACUUGGUUUUCGUUUUCUUUUCUUUGUGGAAAUUUUGGGUGUUCCAUUUUAACACGCUAGAGAGUGCUCUGUUUUUUCUUUUUCUCGUCUUAAAAACAGCACAUGGGUUUUGUAGAUUUCCCCAGAAAGAUACUACUACUUUGGGUGUGUUUAGAGGAAAAAGAUUUUUUAGCACACCCAGCCAGAAGUUGCUGGACAAGUUAUUUCUAUUAUGGGGUAAGUUUGUGACUGUGAGAGUGAUAAUUUUCUUCCAUGAAAUUCACACACCACUUGAUUUUUUUUUUUUUUGGAAGGGAGAUCAGAUCAAUAAUGACAGACACUUCAGAGCUUUUAUCAGUGUGUGUGGUUGAAUUGAAUGAAUCUGUGCCAUUAGAUUUGUACCUCGUGCGCAAUAAUGAGAUUAGUUAUUCAUCAAGUUCCGAAGCUACCCUGUAUAGAAAAAGAAGCAUACGUAAUCAAAUGCCAUCCAUGCUUGUUUUUUAGCAAAAUUUUGAGGGACACCAGUUUUGGAGAUGAAAUUCCAAUCCAGAUUUGGACCCUUUUAUACUUGACAAGAACUGGUGGAUAUAAACCAUCAAUCAAGGUUGUUGUCCCUAGGACCCAUCAAUGCAUUUUACAUUCACCACAUAAUUUCCUGAGCUGGGAUUGUGUUGAGCAGACGACUCUUAGCCAUUGAAGCGAUAUGCGCAAGCAGACGACUAAACUCGCGUGUGGAUGGAUGCUCGUAGCAUUUUUAUAAUUGUCUAUUAUAUUACCAACAUAAACCUACCUCGUGUGGAAAGAAACUUGCAUGUCACGAAGUGUAUAACCUCCUCUUGUCGGAUAUAAAAUUUAUUAACUUUGAGCAAACAACCACAAAUUAUUAACAAAACUUUGAAUGUACAUGUCAAAAGCCUCAUCUAAAGUUGUUGGUCCCUCGUUCAGCCAGCCACUUCCAACACAGGACCAUUGCAGACUGAAAAAAAUAACACAGGACCAUGAAUUAUGAAUAGUGCUUACAAAUUAACAACUGAAGUCUGAAGGUGUAGCCAAAGCUCAAUAUUUAAGUAACCCCGUGAAGAAGUCCCAGCUUCCAAAGCCUUUGAGAAACAGAGGGCUUUCUCUAUCUGCUUUGCCGUGUUGAGUGGUGACCACAUUGAUUCAGUUCUGACAAAAAUGUAUAAAUCAUCAUCUGCUUACUUAGCUCUCUCAUACUUCGAAUUUAUGAUGCCCCAUAUCUUUGUGCUGCUGUUUACCCAAUGUAAAAACUUUGUUCUGUGUCAAUAGAUUUACUGUUUUAUUUUUUACUGAUGUCAAAGUAAUUUCAAAUAAUUCUGAUAUAUCUCAUCAUCUGAAACUCAUUGCAUCUUAAUACAUUCAACAAGAUCAAUAGCGCUUUCUACUCGUUUAUGAUAAAUUAGUAGCGCUUAAAAUAUGAUUUUGCGUUUGGGUUUUUAUCACAAAUGGUCAAUUAGGUUAGCAUUAUCUUUGCUCCUUUAUGUAUCUUUUAGACAUUAUUAGUCCUUUAUAUUACACCUUACACAUCAAUUUGGACCUGCCGUUUAGGCUAUGUCAAAAUUUAUGUUAAAUUGAUGAUGUGGCAGGUAUGUGAUUGGGAUCCUAAAAAAUCAGAAAACUAAAAUAAAGAAAAGAAAAAAGAAAAAUUGCAACUCUCCCCCUCCGAUCCCCUUCCGUCUCUCCCUCUCUCUCUCUCUCUCUCUCUCUCUCUCUCUCUCUCUCUCACCCUCUCUUUUUCUCUCUCCCUCGCACCAUCCUUUCAGUCAGGCCACCACCCCACUACCUAGACCAUCCCCAAGCCCAAUGCCACCAUACAAGUUACAACCACCCUCAUCCCUACCCGAGAUCCACACCAGCCCAAGUCCCAGCAACACCCGAGAAGGGACGAAAUUAACCAAAAUGAGAGAGCGAGAGAGAGAGAGGAGAUAGGCAAAGAGUGGGUUGCCACGGGGCAAGGCGAUGGCAGAGGGAGAACGCAGAGGGGGGUAUGGUUGCAGGUAUUUCCAUUUUCUUUUAGUUUUAAUCUUUUUUAUUUAUAAAAAGACUUCAUUUUCUUUUUAAAAAGGAUUAAGUUUUAAAAUAUAUCGCUAUUUUAUUUAAAGCUGCAUAGCAUUAUCUCAUUGGAUAUGUGGGUACCAUAUACAUUCCAUGUCAGCAAUUUAACAAAAAUUUUGAAGAAACCUAAUGACAUGACCAAAUUGAUGUGUGAGGUGAUAUCAGAAAAAAAACAUAAAGAACCAAAGGUAAUAAUUUCGCCAAUCUCAGGGACCAUUUGUGAUAAAAAGAAACCCUUCGCGUUUUAAUACAUGACCGACAUUAAUAGAAUAAAAUUGCUUGUAAUCUCACUACCAGCCUUAGGAAGGCCACAUCAUCUCCCCCUCUCUCUCUUCCAGAAAAAUGCAUGUUAAACCGGCGGGAUUUUAUGUAUGCUAUGCUCUCCGUCAGUGUCCUUUCAUAUCUGAAGACUUAAAUUUCUUUGUGAGGUCAUCUGAGGCUGAAAUGUUCAAAACACUCCCUCAAAGCUCGGCCCUGAACCUCGAUCGCUUCUCUUUCCCGAGCGAAAACUAAUGCAGGGCAUGCAAUGUCACUGGCUCUAAGGUAAUAACAAAAUUGGCACGUCACACAACAAAGUUGUCAACCAUGUGUUGGAUCACAUCAGCCCCAUCAGAAUGUAGAUAAUAGGUUUUCACCUGACCCACACAAAAAAAACAUUUAACUAUGUCACACGGCUGCUUCUUAAUCUAGCUUGCAGAUGGACCAGCAUGCAUUGUGAAACCGAUAAGAAAAAGAAACGUUUUGCAAUGACAUUAAAAGAAAUGUGUUAAAACAGUUAAACAUGAUGAAUUUCAAGGAAAAGCAGGGCUUGCCUGAAUGGUACUGUGCGCAAGGUAUCUUUGCUUACUUCCUUUGAAGCUCACAUCAACCCGUUCCCAGCUCAUUUUGGUCAAGCUUCUGAUCAUUUCCUCUACAAUCGUGUUGAGAAAUAAGUGAAUAAAAUGCCAAUAGGCUAAGAAUGACUACAUUGAGACGAGCUCAGACUACGGCAAUCAUGGGGUUGACAUCAUAAAACUGAGUAUCAGAUGAAAGCAAAACUAUCCAUAUCGGAUGUAUCCCACUACAGAACUUAGUCUCCCUCUAACUCUAAUUACUAUAUUGUCAUCAUAUUCACCAUAUAAAUACUAAUUAGUUAGUUUUUUAUUUACACAAAUUUUUCUCAGAUUUUAGUUGCAUCAUUUUUAGAACUUUAGUUUUCAUAGUACUACGCAAAUCUUAGAAAUAAGACAACAGCUAGAGGCCGUCAGAGAAUUCCUGCAGCUACCAUCUUAUAGACUUAGUGUCCCCCUGAUAAAGAAGAAACUUCAUAUUAAAUUUCAUUCUUGGUGCCUGACUAAAAGGCAUUGGCAGUCUCGUUCAACUAAAAGGACUUAUGUUCUAAGAUUUAGGAACAGCUGAUGCACUCCAUUAAGUUUUUCUGUUAAACACAUUUCAUACCCAGAAAGCCUCCCCUCCUGUAAUCUAUGCACCUCCAGUUCUGUAACCAUACAUUCUGGAGUAAUGAAUUCCUAAAAGUGUCCCGCAGCCUAGUUGCAUAACCCUUAUGAUUUAAAGGGAAUAAUAUGUAAAUGAAAGCAGAAUUCGCAACGGUUUUCUUCCAAUCUACCCAUAUAUCCCAUCAUGGGAACAUGGAACCUUAUCAAUAAAAUGUCUCCAUGCUAAAGCUGCAAUAAGCGUCAGAGAGCAAUGAGCCACUGAUAAUAAGUCAUUAGUAAAACAAGAUAAACAACUAGCAAACCUUCCAAGUCAAUAUGCUUGCAUCCACUGGCUUUCGCUUCGAAAGAUACUUCUUCUUGAGUACUGUCAGUUUUUAUUGUCUUCACAUUCACAAUAUGUGGAUAUUUGUCAUCUUUGGAUAAAUGUUUAAGCUGAUAGAAAAGUUCAUGGUAAGAUUAAUUCCAGACAAUUAAAGCAUCCAUGAGUAGCUACAGAAUUACCUUUGGCAGCUCCUUCCUACGCCGUAGAGAUGAUGUACUCCAUCCGACAAGGUCUAUAAGAGUUGUCAAGUGCUUCACAUAAAUUAUGGAAAUAGUAAUAAAAGAAGUUUGUGACAGUGUCAAAUUGAAAGAUUGACUCGCUCAAACUUUAAUCUACUUUGAAGACCAGAUGUGAACGCCAAAUUAACUGAUCCCAACAUGUUUGCUUGAACAAUGAGGAUAAUAUUUAAAUAAUAAAAAAUACAUACACAUAAAUUUAAAGGAUACGGUCAUGGAGAACAUUUGCAUAGGCAACACGACGCCUGAAGGACUGCAAUGCAGAUCUGCAGAGACAAGAGAUAUGAUGGCAAAUCCUUGAAUCAUUAACUACAGUAGCCGAUAAUAUGUUACAAAAACAAAUGUAACUAACAACUAGGACUCACAAGAAAUUAAGAUCUUCGGUAUCAUUGACCAUCUGAAUAAGAAGGGGAGGUUUUCCUUUAUCCCUAUCAGUUAAAAACAGAUGUCUUCCACUUCUACCUAGACACCAUGAGGUACGAGCUGCUACUUUUUCCAGGGGUUGAAAGCCACAAAACACUGGAACCUGAAAAAUGAAAACCAGCAGAUAAUCAAGAACUCAGAAGAAUAUGAAACCUCAUUUGUAGGCAAAGCAGGCAGACAUUCACUUGUCACUAAUUUUCCAAAUCAUGACUUGCAACUUUUGUAGACACCCAUAACCAACAAUGAUAAGGUUCCAAGGGUCUCUCCUCAUAAAAGAAAUCUUGAAAGCUUCAAAACUACAUUUGUUGUUUAAAUUAAGGCAACUCAAUUAAUUCUGUCGUCAGGACAGCCUUGGAAAUGCAGAAACCGUCACCAAUUGGGGAAGAAAACCCAAUUGCAGUUCUUCCUCUUUCAAAAACUUGGCAGUUAUGUGAACAAAUUACCUAAUUCUUCAUUCAACUAAAACAAAUUCUCAUGCUUUCACUAUCAAACGGCACCAAAGAGUAAAAAACUGAUGUGAAAAUGAAACAACUGAUAAAUUACAACAGAGAAUAAGUACUGCAAAGGUAAGUUCAUAACAACUCAAGUCACCUGUUUAUGCCCCCUGGUACCAAGGUGCGGAGUUGCAGAGGUUAUAAAAUUCACAGGCUCCAGUCCAGCAAUUUUGCCUUUGACUUUGUGCUCCAGCAAUGGAUCCUCAACUCCAUCACUCCUACAUUCUCCAUUUUCCUGAGAUUGUUCCCUCGUGAGGUCUCUUUCAUAGAGCCUGCCAAUGGCGUACCUUGCUAUAAGGCCGCCUAAUGAAUGACCAACAAACGAGAUCUUCUGAACACUUGGGUGGCGUUUUAUGACGGAAAUAACCUUGAAAAAAAAAAUUAUAGCAAUGAAACUGAACCAAUCCAACAAACAGAAAAUCAUAAACCCAUGAAUUCCAAUUCAAAGGAAGAUGACAUUGACAAACAAGUUGGUUGGUUGAUGAAUGAAUUUAGGCCAAAAGAUAACGCACCUCUUCUGCUAAUCUCUCCCCCAUUACAUCAACCCCAUCAAAUGUCAGCAUUGAGCAAUUGCAUUCACUGCCUGCAAUGCAAACUCAUUUCAUUAUAGGGAAAUGCAAUUGGUAAUUCAAAAAAAGCAAAAAAAUUGUCUAAGCAAGCAAGUCAUGGAGAAAAGGACUCACAGUGAACAAUAACAUCUUCUGGGUAUCUCUUGAGAAACUGUUUUGCUGCAUAUUUCCAAUUCUGAGCACUGCACCAAAUGUAACACAAAUUAAUUAAUAAAUAAAUGAAAAAGACGGAAGCUUGAGCUUCAACCCACAUUCAAUUUAAGCAAACAGAGAAUAUCAACCUGCCUAUAAGACCAUUCACCAUUAUAAUAAGAUGGGUAGGAGUCAUUUUCCCACGCCCUUCAUCCUCAACCUCCAUAUCAAAAUUCCCCUUCCCGUCCGUUUCAGAUUUCAAGCUGAAACACCGAAACUUUGGCAGGUAAUGAAACGUUUCUUUUGUGCUCGUCCUUUUGCUCUUGUUCUUUUUCUUCCUCACGAUGUUUUUCUUGCCUCUCUGCUUGAUCUCAUUGGAAGAUACAAUUCCAGAACCGUCGAUCUCCAUCUCCAUGGAAGCCAUAUGCUCUGCAAAUCUUGGUCAAAUGGAGAGGUUUUGCUUGUUGUUAGCGGUUUUAGACUUUUAGCAGUUACAUAUACAGUCUUUCCACAAAUCACAGUAUAUAAUGUGGAUUCCGAUCUUUCGUUUUCGUUUCCAGGUUUGGUUUGGCCCGCACCGCGACUGGAGCUUGCCAUCUCUGACUGGUUUGAUAUAAAUUGCCCCUGUUUUUUCCAAUUAAUUACGAGAAUUUUACACUGGUGUCUGUUGGUUAAGCUAUGGAAAGCGAGGGGGUAUAUUUGGAACGUUUGCUACCUCCGUUGGGAAGCAAACGACUUUGACCGCUUGACACGGAAUUCUCCUGCAUGUUGUAUACUUUUUUAUUAUAUUUUUUCCCCAAAAAGUCCAUGUUAUUAUUAAUAUAUGAUUCGUUAGGCAGCUUUUGGUUGAAUUACGCAAUAAAUACAACAUAAAAUAUUUUGUUAAGUUUCUAUGUUUUUCAAAAUCUGGGAAUCUGGGUUGCCAUCGGACAUGAAUCAUUCAAUUUGUGUGUUUACAUCAUGUCGUCAAACAGCUUUAUAUUAGAUCUACUAUGUUUUGGAAUACCUCAUCUUUUAGUUUACAUAAUCUCUUAAUUUAGUUUUUUCUUUCCUUUUCUUUUGGCAAGCAGAGAAAAAUGGUUUUGGCCACCCGAAGGAGUGAGUUAGAAUUAAGUUAGGUUAAAAGUUUCAUUCCCUUCCAUUUAUAUGCUAGUUAGCAUUAUUAAGGAUUCUUUAAAAAAAAGUACAUUUUAUUUACGGGUAAUAACUCAUUUAGUCAUUACUCGUUAGGUUCUUUUUCAAGGAUCAUUCAUGUCAAAAAUCAACUAAAUUAAAAAUUGUUUACCUAUUUGAUUAUUCGCAUUUUUCAUUUUCUGUAUGUAACAAAUUGUGUUUCUUUGCACCUUUUAGAUGACCAAAUAAUUUCCAAUCUAUAUGAUUUGUUUGCAUGUAUGACUCUUGAAGCGAGACCUAAAAUGUAGUUUCGAUAAUUAAAUGGAAUUGGGCAAUAGUCCUAAGAAAGAACAGUGAAAAGUAUAAUCAGAACUAGAGUAAUUGUAGCGUAGUAAAAGAUUUUGUUGAUCAACCGGCAUAAAUUCACAUGCUCGCAUAAUCCUCACAAACUAGAGUGUCACAUAUCAUAUCAGUUAAUCUCAUUUCACAUCUCUAGCCAUUUGAGCUUUUGUGUACUCUAAAGUUUAAACCAUAUUUUUUGAAGGUGUAAAUUGCAUAUUAAACAUUUAGGUAAAGCACAAAAUAAAUAAAUAAAUAAAUAUCAUGAAACAGUUGUAGCCCUCAUGUCUUAGGGCCCCUAAUCCCAUAGGUUUCUGGGCUUUCAUAUUUUACAGUCAUAGGUUUGUAGGCUUUCUUACGCUCUCAUUGAUCUCAUGAAAGAAAGUGAUGAAAGAGCCAAAGCCCAAAGAAAAUGCCAUGGCUCGUGUAAAUAGUAUAGCCGUGCGGCUAUACUCGAUUUUGUUUCUAAAUUUUUUUUUUUCAAUAGUAUAGCCGGUUAUAGAUGAGCGGCUAUAGUCUUUUAGAUAUACAUAUAUAUAUAUAUGUACGUACGUAUUUUUCAAUAAUACAUUCAUAUUCUAUACACGUCUCACGUUUUUAAAAAAGCAAACGUACAAUAAUUGUAUUGUAUAUGUACAUACAUAUUUCUAAUGUUUUGUACAUGUAUUUUUUACAAAAGUUUUAGUAAGACACACAAAAUUAACGUAUUAUACAAAUAAUUGUCACAUAUUAUUGAAUAAGAAUAAUAUAUUAUAUAAAUAUUAUAUAGUAGCCGAUUCAUAUCUACUUUAGACAGUCCCGAUCUCUUGGACCAAAGGAGUCCAAGAGAUUGUGGUCACAUACUGUUGAAUAUUAAUCCAAUGGUUAAUUUUUUUUCUUAAAAUGAGUGCAAGAGUGAGUGAACCGUCGAAUUUACAUCUAACGGUGAGUAACCACAAAUCUCUUGAACCCCUGUAGUCCAAGAAAUCAGGACUGCUACUUUAGAUAUGUUGAAACUAGCAAAUUAAUAUUUAUAAAGUACAAAGUAAUGCAAAUAGGAGGGUCCUUUCUUAUUUUUUUUAUUAUAAAUUAAAUAGUGUAGCCGUACGGAUAUACUACAAUUUUUUUUAAAAAUUACUAUAGCCGAGCGGCUAUGCUUUUUUUGACAAUGGCACCUACAUUGCUAGCGAUUACUCUUUUGAAAGAAAAAAAACAAAACAAAACAAUACAGCCGAACGGCUAUACGCCGUGUUUUUUUAAAAUUUUUUUUUAAAAGUAGACUUGUUUUGACAUGUGGCGCCUAAUCGCCGGGGGGUCUUCUUUUUUAUAUAAACAAAAUAGUAUAGCCGCACGGCUAUACUCAGUUUUAAAAUUUUUUUUUUAAAAAAAAAAGUAUAACCCAAACUGUAUAUUAUUUUACACGUCGGCGACUAGGCGCUUUGCGGUUACUCUGUUUUUUUUAGUAAAUAGUAUAGUUGUGCAGCGAUACACGAUUUUUUUCUAAUUUUUUUUAAAGAACGUAUAGCAGGCCGGCUUUACAUUUAAAAAAAAAUUAUCUUUAAUAAAUAGUUUAGACGAGCGGCUAUAGUCUUACAUAUAUACGUCUUCUAUACACGUCUCACAUUUUUAAAAAGCAAUCGUACAAUAGUCGUAUUGUACAUAUAUGUACGUAUUUCUAAUAUUUUAUACAAAAUUUUCUAUAAGACACACAAAAUUCACGUAUUAUACAAAUAAUUCUCACAUAUUAUUUAAUCUAUAUCUAUAUAUAUAAAGCAAAAGGUAGAGAAUGGUGAAACAUUCAAAAUACCAGAAAAUGCCCUUGGUUAAUGCAAACAUUAAGAAUUAAAAUUAUUAAUUAAAUGAGGAUAAUAUGGUAAAUUCACAAUUUUUCAUAUUUAAAAAAUUAAAAUUUUCUUUAAAAAAAACCUCUCGCAAGCGCGGAAGCGCGUGCAGAGAGGCUAGUAUAUAUAAAGCAAAAGGCAGAGAAUGGUGAAACAUUCAAAAUACUAGAAAAUGCCCUUUGUUAAUUCAAACAUUAAGAAUUGAAAUUAUUAAUUAAAUGAGGAUAAUAUGGUAAAUUCACAUUUUUUAAUAUUAAAAAAAUUAAAAUUAAAAACAAAAUAAGAUAAUAGUGUAAAGACCCAAACCUAAAAUUCACGUGUAAUUAGUAAUUUAUUAUGCGGAAAGACAAUUUUGCCCUUUGACUCACUUAUGAACUCAACGUUGACUUUUUGACCGAAAAGGAAUUUGACAAUUCCACAUGCGCUGUUGUGUAGAGCACGACGAUACGAGUUCAUAGACAUGAAGUAAGCUCGAAUCGGAGUUGUAACGAAGAAAAUACGAUUAAAAUAUCACGAAAGGCAAAAUAGUAAAUAAGAAAAUCAGAAAUUUUAUAAAAACCUCAGCUUCUCUUUCUCUUUCCCUCUCUCUCUCUCUCUCCCUCCCGAUAGUUCUAGAAAACCAGUCGGGCAGCCACCUUCCAAGCCACCCCAACGCCACCUCACGCCACCCCAACCCUCCGGACCGGACCCAGCAGCACCGGCCAGCUCCCGCCAUCAACCCCAGCCCGUCCGCCGCCCCUGCUGCUGUCUGGAGCCGCCGGAAACUGCUGGAAAACGCAGCAGUUUUGGCAGAUUUUCCAACCUCAGUUUCUCCCUCAUCCGGCCACCAAAUCAGUCGUGUGAGGUAUCGAUUUCUAGCUAUUUUUCGUGUUCUAACUGCUGUUUGGCUGGGUUUCGAUCAAUUUUUGCUGUAGAUCACUCGAUUUUCAAAUUGAAAUUCGGCCGACUUUCGGCCUCCGUGUUCGGCUAUUUCCGGCCACUUUUUGGGGUAGGUCCAAGAACAAAAGUGACGCCAAAUGGGGUGUUUUACCUAGGAUAGGAGUUUGGAGUCUUGGUCCUGAGAUUUUUCGACCACCCGAAAUCGCUUAAGACACCCAAAUCUGCCCGCGCGUGCUGGGCCUCGUGGGCGAGGGUGGUGGAGUAACUCUGGGCAGUUUUGAGAUCCUCGUGUCAUCACGAGCGCGUAGGAUUUCGCGGAUCUCGAUUCGGAGUCCGUUUGAGCCCCGAACGGAUUUUCUAUAUCGCGCGAUCCUUGGGUGCAGUGUCGUCAAAUCGUCGGAUUGCGCUGAAUUUCGGAUAUGUUGGUCUACAUGAUUUCAGGAUCGUGUAGGAUUCGACGGAUUGCGAAUCGGAGUCCCGGAUACUCCGAAAUCGCGAACCCUGGGGCUAGGGUUUGGAUUUUAAGCGAUAACGCGAUUUUGGCUAAUCCGACCGUCCGUUUCGGACCAAACUAGCAGAACAUGGUUCCUUCUCUGUAAGGAACCUUCAGAGGAGCCCAGAUUGGCCAUCGGAGACCGUGGACCCACGGGGUCCGGGAUCGGCCGAUCUGGCAGUAUAUCGCUUAGUAAGGCUUCGGGUCUCUUAAGGUCGUUCUAACUGUCUAAAAAGCUAAUGUGGGCAUAAGAGUAACUUUAAAAUGAGUGCACGUAUUUCUAGGAGCCGGGGGCAGGGUGUUUAAUUUGAUUCUUUUUAUUCAACAGUUUAUUAAUUUAUUAUUCAUGGAUAAUCAGGCACCAGAGGUCCAGUCGACUUGCAGGAAGGACCUUCGAAGGGUCCAAUUAGCUCGGACCAUCCGUGAGUGGACUCUUUGUUUUAAUAAAUGAAUUUAAGCAGUUCAGUUAUAAGCUGUUUUAUGCUGUUAACUAUUUUAUGUUGCAUGCUGCCGAGUGCAAUUUCCUUUAAAGCUUAUAUGAACAGAUAUUCUUGUUAAUUAUCAGAUAAAUGGCAGCAGAAUUUUAAAGGUUACAGAAAGUUAAUUAUUCAACAGAUUUUCUUCAGAAACUUUAUAUUUUCUUAAACCACCUGGUACCCAGAUAUUAAAUGUUGCCUUCGGAUUAUAUUUGUUACCUUCGGUUUAGUCAGCAUGCUUGACAGUUGCCCCACGAGUUCCUUGGUACUCGAACUCGUGUGGAGCGAGUAAUGCGGAUAAAGGCGGACUACGGUUCCCUGAAUCCUGCGAGUUGCGGCUCGGACUGACUUCGUGUCACUGAGACCUGCGAGUAUGUGUCACCCAUGGUGAUGCAAGGAAUUGACGGAUAUAAGGAUUUGACGGAAAUAGGGGUACACCUAGGUGAUAGUUUUCAACUGUUUUCAAAUGUAUAGUUAUAUACAUGCAUUGAUUUCAGAAAUAAAGAAAAUAAGUUAGUUUGUAUAACUAUUUUUACAGUGGGGUUAGUAUGUUCAUAUAUUAUUUUCUAAGCUUUGUUUUGGGUCCACUCACCCUUCUUGUUGUUUUGCGCCCCCAGGCAGUAAACGUGCACAGGAAUCCACCACCGGGCCACUUCCCAUCUUCCGUGCCUUUCUUUGAUGUAGGAUUUGUAUUUUGUACAACGAUUCACUCUUUUGUAAAUUCUUAGCAGUCGCUCUGAUGUUUUGCCCUAGAUUGAGUUUGAUCUCUUGGAAUGUAUAUAUACAUAUGCUGGCAGUUGGUUGUAUAUAUAUAUACUUGUUCUGACAGGUGUAAAGAUUUUGGUAUUGAGCCAGAUACAAGGGAAAUUCUGCCGGUUUUUCGGUAGAAGUCAACCUUGUUAUUUUUAUCAUGUUUUGUAUAGAAGGGCAAAUAGGUCAUUUGUGCCCGACAUUCGCCAGGUGUCGGACACACACAGGGUCUGGCUCGGAUUCCAAAGUGGAAUUUGGAUCGGGUCCUGUCAAAUAGGUCCUACUUUUAUGGAACAUAACUACCCUGUUAUCUUUUAUUAAUUCUAAAAAUAAAAUAAAAAUGAAAAAGAAAACCAAUUGGCACAUGCGUGAGCAUGUGUCAAGGGGCUAGUAAUAAUAAUAUAUGAUAUAAAAGUUGACAGGACCCGAUCCCAAUUCCACUUUGAAAUUCGAACCAAGUCCUGUGCGUCCUGAGCUGACAGCACUUCGAAAGGCCUCGCUUAAUUAAUAGGCUGAUCAUCAAAGCGUACUUACUUAUGUUAAGGUUCUUGUUAUUAGUUGGAUAGGUAUGGCUUAUUAUGAGAGGAUAACUUAUAGAAGAAGUGCGUCAAUCCCUCUGCAUCGUAAUCAACAAAAUAGGCAUACGAAUCUGCGUAAUCAAGGAUCUGAAUCCACUGAGCCAGGUGUCGGGCACAAUUGACCUUUUUACCCUUCCUGUUACAAUUACUAGUAAAACUUCCCUUAGACUCCUGCCGAAAAUUAGGCAGAGUCUCCCCUGUAUUUUGUUUAAACCCAAAAUCUUCCACAUGUUAAACAAGCAAAUAAUUUUCCACCAACUGCCAGAAUAAAAUAACUAAGCAUUCACCAGAUCAAGUUUCCCACUAAAACGAGAUAUCAGAGCAUUUUCUACUAAUUUACAAGAUUUCAAGAACUUUUACAAUAAAAUCCUACGUUUCUUGGUGGUGCGGAAGCUAGGAGUGGCCCGGUGGUGGAUGCCUGUGCACUUCUACAGCCUGGGGGCGAAAAACAAGUUUGAAAAUGUGAGUGGACAAAAAUAAUGUUCUUGAAAUCAGUUUAUAAUCAUAAUAACCCCCAUGGUAAAAAUAACUUGAUAAGUAAGGCUAAAGUUCAACUGUGUUUAAUAUAAGGUAUUCAUCUAACUAUAUAUAAAUGUAUGUAUAUAAAUUCGUAAAACUGAACAAUUAUAUGGAGAUAUAAAACAUGCACGAACAUUGAGGAAACUGAUAUAAAAUGACUGAAAGCAAUAGCUGUAUAAAAGUACUCAAAUUCCUUUAAAUUACCACCUAAAUGUACCCCUGUAAAAUCCGUCAAAUUCCCUGGCAGGUCUCGGCGACACAAAGUCUAUCCGAGCCGCAAACUGGUAGGAUUCAGGGGACUAUGGUCAGCCUGAUCCGCCGGCAGGUCUCGAUGACACCAAGUCGACUCGAGCCGCUCUGGCAAGAUACAGGGGACCGUCGUCAACUUGAUCCGCAAUCCUGACAGGUCUCGGGGACACAGAGUCAGCCGAGCCGCAAAUUCUGGCAGGUCUCGGGGACACCAAGUCAGCCGAGUCGCAAAUUCUGGCAGGUCUCGGGGACACCAAGUCUACCGAGCCGCAAAUCCUGGCAGGUUUCGGGGACACAGAGUCAGCCGAGCCACAAAUUCUUGUAUGUCUCGGGGACACAGAGUCAGCCGAGUCGCAAAUCCUGGCAGGUCUCGGGACACCAAGUCUGCCGAGCCGCAAAUCCUGGCAGGUCUCGGGGACACAGAGUCAGCCGAGCCGCAAAUCCUGGCACUCACGGUCCGAGCGUCCCCGAAACUCGUGAGGCAAUGUCAAGUGCACUGACAGAACUGUAAACAGACUAAAUGUCCGUAGACAUCGGUCCGUCUGAGGGUAAUCACUAAAAAUAAGCGGGUAUAUGGUGGUUCUAAUUUAGAAAAAUCUGAUAAUUCUCCGAAAUCUGAUAAAUCUGAGCUAAGUUAUUAUUUCUGUAUCAAAGAUCUCAAGUCUGCUGCUCAACUAAGUAAUAUAAAAAUAAAGAUAUUUCACGAUGCAGUUCAUGCUCAGAAAAUAUGUAAUAACACUUAUUCAAGAUCAAAUAAGAAAUUUAAUUAUAAAUAUCAUUUAGAAAAGAAAAGUCCACUCAUUGCUGGUCCGAGCUAGCUGGACCCUUUGAAGGUCCCUCCUGUGGUUUUGCCAAUCCUCUGGUGCCUAAUUACCCAUAAAGAUUAAAUUACUAGAACUGCUCAAUAAAAGAAUUAAAUUAAACACCCUGCCCCCCGACUCCUAGAAAUGCGUGUACUCAUUUUAAAGUCACUUCUAUGCCCACUUUAGCCUUUCAGACAAUUAGAACGGCCUUGAAAGACUUGAAGCUGUUCCAAGCGAUAAAUUGUCAGACCGGCCGAUCCGGUACCUCGUGGGGUCCACGAUCUCCGAUGGCCAAUCUGGGAUUCUCUAAAGGUUCCUUACAGAGAAAGACUCAUGUCCUUACUCGAACGAUUUGGUUGCGAAUUGAGGGAGAACGAAGGAGAUGAAGUUUUGCCCAAAACCGGCGGUUCUCCUCCAGUUUCCGGCGAGCUCCGGCCAGUGUAGGGGUGGAGGCGGGUCGUGGCGUGACGGCGGCGGCGAGACGAAGCUGCUGGUACCAACGCCUGAGAUCGGCGUGCCCUGUGGUGGCCGGUGUGGCGACGGGAAGAGAGGAGGGGCGCGGGCUGCGCGCGACGGGAGGAGAGAGAGAGAGAAGAGAGAAAAUGAGGAGAGAGAUAGGAGAAAAGAGAUAAAAAUCUGACUUUUUCCAAAUUACCGUUUUGCCCUUCACGGUAUUUUGACCGUAUUUUCUUCGUUAUAACUCCAAUUCGAGUUCACUCCGUGUCUACGGACUCGUUUCGCCGUGCUCUACGCAACGGCAUAAGCGAAAUUGCCAAAUUCCUUCUCGAUCAAAAAGUCAACUUUUUCCCUAUUAAAUAAUGCGAGGGCAAAAUCGUCUUUUUGCUAGAAUAAAUUAAUGCUAAUUUUUAGAUAUUUUGUUUUGGGUUAUUACAAAAGUUAUAUUAAAAUAUAGUGGCCGAUUAAUAUAUACUUUGGAUAUAUUGAAACUAGUAAACAAAUAUAUAUAAAGUACAAACUAAUGCAAUUAGGAGGGUCCUUUUUUCUUAAUUUGUUUUUUAUUAGAUAGUAUAGCCGGGUGGCUAUACCGUUUAAAUAUAAUGUAUUUAAUAGUAUAGCCAUGCGGCUGAGCUACGAUUUAAAAAAAAAAAAUAGUAUAGCCGUCCGGCUAUUCUUAUUUUUGAAACGUGGAGCCUAAAUCGCUAGAGGGUCCUGUUUUUUAUUUUUUUAAAAACGUACAGCCGCACGGCUAUACGCUUAAUAGAGGUGAAAAACUAAUUGACCCAUGUUUAGAGAGAUGAAGAAUCGGUGGUGGAGAGCAGAGCGACACUUGUAUACGUUGUUGCAGUCAAAUAUUGUAUGUAGUUCUCAAAACCCCCAUGAAGAUUUUUUUGGCUAGAAAACAACCCCAUGAGGAUUUAAUGGACUCUGUUCCUCUACAUCUUUGGUGCCAAGAGAAGACACAGUCAAAGACAGACAAUGGGUUUGGGUUUUAGGCUGAACCUCAAGUGUGGCUUUCCUGUUCAUUCUUCUCACUGGCAAACCACUUCCCCUUCCAAGAUUUCUUCAACUUCUGGUGAGUUUCAUUGGCUUUCUCUGCAGCUGAUUUCAUAUGCCUGCUCCACCAUCUCUGCUUUUGCAACUUUCAUCUUUGUUUUGAGAUUUUCUUGAAUUUCCCAGCAUUGCAUCUGUUUUUGGCAAUCUGAAACACCUCAUUGUAUCUUUUUAAGUAAACCCAGAAAGCAUCAUACUGUGUUACUUCUUAGUUCAUAGUAGAGAAAGUGAAUUUCCAAGAUGAUCAAAAGGCAUUUUUAAGAAUUGGGUCUUGAAGUUUUCAAUGGGCUAUUGAAACUGACAUUGGAAAAUUUGGAAAUUUGGCUAUUAUCUAAGCUCCCAUCUACCAUAAGUGAUGCACAUUGGUAUUGGCUUGAACUUGGCUCUCAACUUUUAUUAUACUUAUAAUUUUCUAUGUAAAUUGAUACAGUUAGAGGCAGGGAGGGCUCUUUCAACUCAGCAAGGUUGUCCUUUCUGUCUGUUAUUUCUGAGGAAGGUGAGGCUUCUAGUAAAGAUCCUCUGAAAGUUUACACUUUUCCAUCUGCUUCCCCACAAAUCUUAGAGGAUGGUGUCUCAGAACUGGAAGAGGUGAAGGUUUGCCCUUUAAUUGAGUUGUUGCUUAAAAGUUGCACAAUCUCAGUCACACUGAAUUUUCCUUAUUUUUAGUAGAUGAAAAUCUUACCAUGACUUUUGCCUUUCAGACAGCCUUUAGGAGGGUGCCAAAGAGUUUUAGUGACAACCAGAUGCCUGUUGCAGAAGGCAAGUUUAUAUCCAGUAAAGGCUUAGAAGCAUGCACGGCAUCUCAUUUUAGUUUGUUACUGCAAAAUCUUAAUGUUUUGGAGGAGACUUUUGCCACUUC
rnacentral:lncRNA from 1 species